UGAGUGCAGGAGGAGGUGUUGAUGGUAGGAAAGCAUGUAGGCUUGAAUCUCUUAAAAAAUUGGAACACCUUCAAGUAUGUGGUAUACGUAGACUGGGUGAUGUAUCAGAUGUGGGCGAGGCUAAGCGAUUAGAACUUGACAAAAAGAAAUACCUCUUCAGUUUGACCCUUGAGUUUGAUAAGAAGGAAAGAGGAGGAGAAACGAGGAAGAACGAGGACGAUCAACUUCUUCUUGAAGCCCUGCGACCACCUCUGGAUUUAAAGGAAUUAGUGAUACGGUACUACCGAGGCAACACUGUUUUCCCCAGCUGGAUGACGUCAUUAAUCAACUUAAAGAGUUUAGAUCUCUCUUCCUGCGAAAAUUGCGAGCAGCUGCCUCCUUUGGGAAAAUUGCCGUCCCUUGAAAAACUCGGCCUAUCGGACAUGAAGAGUGUGAAAAGAGUGGGUGAUGAAUUUUUGGGGAUAGAAAGUGAUCAUCAUGGCUCAUCUUCAUCUUCAUCGGUUAUUAUUGCCUUCCCCAAAUUGAAAUCACUCUCAAUUGAGUUUCUGCGCGAAUUGGAGGAGUGGGAUUAUGGGAUUACAAGAACGGGAAACACCGUCAUCAACAUCAUGCCACGUCUUUCUUCAUUGACAAUUGUUGAUUGCACCAAAUUAAAGGCACUGCCCAACCACAUUCAUCAAACGACAACGUUGAAGGAAUUGUGCAUUGUGGAUUGUGAGCUUCUGGAAGAACGUUACCGCAAGGGGGAAGGAGAAGACUGGCCUAAGAUAUCACACAUUCCCAACAUAGAUAUUUUUUAAGAAGGAUUUGCGCAUUCGAGAUUUGGCGUUGACAAGUAAUUUCUUCUCUUACUCUGAUUUGCUUUGUUGUUGUUUUUAAUCUAAUUAAGAAGCGUAAAUAGCAUUUUGAAUCAAACUCUAUAUCCGAAAUCUGCAAUACAUACUUUCUAAUAUUCUGAUUUUCAUAUCCUACCAUUUUUAAUUUGUGAGAUGGGUAACGUUACUGUAAAAGAUUAUUAAUGGAACAUGAGUAAUUCUUUUGCAGGACAAGUGACCUACAUUUAGUUUGGCUUUGGAGUUGAAUAAUAACCUUUCAAGGCCAGGACCCAAAAGCAGGAAAAACAAAAAAAGGAACGAAGCUUAAUUUUGCCACAGAUUACAUGUAUUGCCAUUAUUGACAAGUUUCUGGACAAGUGAUCAAGGGUGAGAGUGGUGCUACAACAUUGAAUAAAGCAGUCGUGACUGAAUUUAGGUUGUGUCAAAAGUGGUAAAUUAUUUGCAUGUGUAGCUAAUUUGACCAUUUCCUGAUCUAUAAGUCUAUAUUAAUUUUGAUUUUUAGUUGAGUGAUUACAUUUCAAGGUUUGCUUACUUAACAGGGCGACCAAUUUCUUUUAACUAAAUGUAUUAUAUGAUGCAGGAAGCAAGGCAGGAUAUGAAAUAAGAAGCUUAUUAAUGGCAGUUGGCAGUGAAUGGAGGCCCUUGACUAAAUUCUCAAGCGGUUGCACUGCAAUUACGCUUAUCCGUAGCCUCAGGUAAUUUCUUCUUCUGCAUUUUUGUAAUUUGUUAUCUAAUUAAGGGGCGUGAGCUAUUUUGAAUCAAAUUCUAUAUCAGGAAUAUAUGCAACAUUUUUUAAAAUUUUGAUAUGAGAGUAAUGAUGGUAAUUUCUCUUUUUUGUCUGUCAUCGAAUGUUAAAUAACAUUCACUAAGACUCUUGAGAGUCAUUUUUUGACAAUUGCAGGACAAGCGACGAAGAGUGAGAAUGGUGUUAGAUUGGGGAUUGAGGCAAAAGGAGGUAAAUUAUUGGCAGAGAAUUUGGGAGCUUGAGUGUACAGGGAUUUGCAAUUACAAUCUUACUCUGCCUUAGGUGAUUUCUUCUCCUGCUUUGUCAUUGGUUGUUCUCUAGUUGAAAAGCAUAAAGUAUUUCAAUCAAAUUCUAUACCAAGAAUAUGCAAAACUUUAUUUCCAUCUGUUUGCAUUGAUAACUUUGCGGCAUAUGCGCUAGUUAAAGAACAAACAGAAACAGAGGUCAGGAACAAGUUUCCUCUGCCGUCAUAUUUGAAAAUGCAACCAUUUCCGGGAAGUAGUUGGCAGCAAAUUCAUAUAAAGUGUAGACAAUAAUGAGCAAAAAGGUGAUUCACAAUUUUAUUUUUUUUAAAUUAAUUGUUAGGUUGGAGUUGUUAAAAGGCCAUUGAGCUAACCUAUGUCAUUAGUUACCUAGAUUGCAGGGGGUCCCGAGACUCCAAAGAAGCAUUGAAUUUUAAAAGGCAUGCAAUAAUUCUUGUGGGCGUAUGAGUUUGAUUUAGAAUCAAACUCUAGAUCAGAAAUCUGCAAUGCAUAUUUUCUAAUAUUCUGAUUUUCAUAUCCUACUAUUUUUAAUUUGUGAGAUGGGUAACGUUACUGUAAAAGAUUAUUAAUGUAAUAUGAGUAAUUCUUUUGCAGGACAAGUGACCUACAUUUAGUUUGGCUUUGGAGUUGAAUAAUAACCUUUCGAGGUCAGGACAACAAAAAAAUGAAUCUUAAUUUGCCACAGAUUGCACUUAUUGCCAUUAUUGACAAAUUUCUUCACAAGGGAUCAAGGGCGAGGAUGUUGAUAGAAUAUUGAAUAAAGCUGCCGUGACUGAACUUACGUUGAUGUCAAAAGAGGUAAAUUAUUGGCAUGCCUGACUAUUUUGACCAUUACAUGAACAUGAGUUUACAUUAAUUUUGAUUUUGAGUUGAGUGACUUUUUAAGGUUUGCUUACUUAACCGGGUGAUGUGAUGCAGGAAGCAGGGCAGGAUAUGAAAUGAGAAGCGUAUUAGUGGAAGUAUUGCCAGUAACAGAACCCAAAAAAAAGUGGAACCAUUUUAAGGCAGCAGUUGGCAGUUGGGAGUGAAUGGAGGCCCUUGACAAAAUUCUCAAGCAGUUGCAAUGCAAUUACGAUCAUCCUCAGCCUCAGGUAAUUUCUUCUCCUGCUUUGUUGUUAUUUGUUACCUAAUUAAGAAGCAUAAAGUAUCUUGAAUCAUUUUCUGUAUCUGGAAUAUAUGCAACAGUCUCUAAAAUUUUGAUGACUGUAAUGAUUGUAGUUUCUGCUUUCUGUCCGACAUCGAAUGUAAGACGACUUUAUUAAGACUCUUGAACCGAGACAUUUUUGACAAUUGAAGGGCAAGUGCUGAAGAGUGGGAAUGGUGCUAGAUUGGGGAAUAAAGCAAAAGGAGGUAAAUUAUUGGUAGUUUCUGCAGCCUUGUUUUCUUUGAAUCAGCACCUGAUUCACAAGACUCCAUUAAUUUGGCUUUUGAUGAGCUGAGUGAUAAAUUUUCAAUUUCUUUGGUGCUAAAUGUAUGUGUGAAGCAGGUAGCAGGGCAUGACUGUGGAAAAGAGAAGAUUUUAGUGAAAGCUGAAACUCAGAUAAUUCUACAUUUAUCUAAUUCACGAAAUUUUAUUUCCAUCUGUUACAAGAUCAAACUGAAGCAGAACUCAAAGAAAGUAAUCUACUUCUUGCGGCAAUCUUGCCUUCGCUCAGAUUAUGAAACCAUUUCCAUGCACCAAAUUCAUCCAAAAGUUUGAAUAAGUUUCAUGGUUGGACACUGUUGGCUUCUUUUUCUUUUGGGGUGCAUUUUGGUGCUACCAAGUGACAGCUGCAAGUAUGAUUGCACUAACCUGCUGCUGGGAAAUUUGAGGUUUUGAUGGCUGCCCAUGUUAUUGUCAAGAAACUCCUCAUGUAAGAAGCUGUGGUUCUUUUCAUCAGCUUGAACCUGAAACUGUUGCUAUGGAUAACUCACGUUUUUAUUCUCAACUAUAUCAUCUUUUUUAGUGUUUUGAAACUCUUAAGAUUAAACUUUGGUAAAAUGUUUUCAGUUAUCCAUGUAAUCAGGCUGAGGAUAAUUUAGUAAAGUUGUUUCCGCUAUUCAAAUGAAAAACCCCAUUGAUUUUAACCAUGAUAAAGCUAAUGUUCCCAAUGAUUACUGCAGGUGAGACUUGUGAAGAGGGUGAGUGAGGCAACUGCUAAAAUUCCUGGCUGGGAUACAGUAACUAGAGGCUGAGAUCAGGUGGUGGAAUUUUUUGUUCCGUGGAUGAUACCAGAAUUGUCCAGAAAAGAUUUGUUGAUACUAAUUACAGAUGAUAGAAAGAGGUAUAGGUGGAGAAGAGAAAUCUGCGAGUCAAAUUAGGGAUAAUUGAUUCUGAUACUAGUUAUAUUGAAAAUAAUAAUAACAAUUGCAUGAAGAUAGUCAAUAUUCUUCUCUAGAUAUAUUGUAUGGACUUCCUUGCUGCCUUUAUCUAUGUGCAUGUUGACUAAAGCUAAUCUAGAAUCAAUAGAGAGGGAUAUUUAUCUAUUUUGUUUAACAUAAGAGUGCUGUAUAAUUUUUCACUAAAUACACCUACAACAAACUAUUAAUAAUAAAGUGAUAGAAGAAUGCCUAAAAUAUAGGUAUUAAUGUCAUAAUAAGCCCAUGUGGAUCUCAGUGCCGCAAGUUCGAUAAAUGGCUAUCAAGGAUUGCUUAUUAAGUCAAAAUAUUCAAAGGACAAAAUGGUAAAACUAUAAGGGUGGAGUAAUAUGGCUAUCUUGGGUUACAUAGUAAGUCAACUACAUUCAAAGUAUAAAAUAUUAGAACCUGAACGGCGGAGUAGUCGUCGUUAGAACCUGAACGGCGGAGUAAUCGUCGUUAGAAUCUGAAUGAUAUGUCUAAGACGUUGCAUGCAUCUAGAAAAUUGCAGAUGAUUAGACCUUGCCAUCUAUGCGUUGUAUGAGGUUAUAGCAACUAUCUAUCUGGUCACCGUUUUCAAGUCUCAAUUGGUAGUCCAAACUCCAAAGAAAAGAAUGAUUCUACAAUAGCAUUAAGUGUUAAUUGGACACAAAAAGAAAUGUUUUAACCACUUUAAGGAAAGUAAAUGUAAUUUUGUGUCCUAAAGAAAAGGUAAAUGUAUGCACUGUCAAUUAAUCUUUGGUCGACCAGCAACAUCAUAAUUUUGUGUAGGUUCAUUUUUGUUUCUUAGAGUUUGUAAAAAGAAUGGGAAGAUUUUAAAAUAUAAAUUUCAUAUCUGUUUAUUACUGUUGUUUGGUCUAAUUUCUUAUGUAGAAUUUUCAGAAUCUGUAGGACAUUAGUUUAUAAUUUUGAGAUUUUGCAGCCAUAAAUGUUUUUUUUUUCUUUUUUCUUUCUUUUUUUUUUUGUUGGCAUUUUAUUUUGCUCCUUUAUCUAUGUGCAUGUUGACUGGCUGCAGUGAGUGAAAAUUUACCCAUAUAUGCUGGCUAUUCUUGGACAAUAUUAGAGAAAAUAAUCAUAUUAUUUCGCUUGAUGUGAACUUCCAUAACUUAUCAAUUGAAUUGCUGUAAAAUAUUAAAUAGUUUUAUUUUUCUUUUAUCGUGUAACUUGGACCAAAAAAGGAAAUGAGUUUAACACGACCCUCAUUCUGCUUCUUGCUUUGGUUUCAAACAAGUCUUUCUCCUUUAUGACAUUUAUUGUAAUUUCAUUUGGAGACAUAUAUCUGUCGUUCAAAUAUAUUUCAUACGUAAGCUGUUAAUAAUUCUGCUUGCAGAAAGCCUACAAAGCAGCUGUGUGAUGUAAUAGAAGACCAUAGUCUCGUCAAUUUUUCAACAUUAGAUAUUCAGGUCAUCAGCUUCUCAUGAAUUCUUUCCUGAGUUUCUUUGAAUUAUUUGUGAUGUAAUAACUUGUGCAUUUGAGAAACUGUUCUCAUGAAUUCUUUCCUGAGUUUCUUUGAAUUAUUUGUGAAUAAGUUCCUAAUCGGCUGCUUCUCCUCAGGAUAAGGAAAGUGUUGCAAACUGGUGAAGCAGCUGAUAGAUAAAAGCAAUGGGUACAUCUUUGCUGGCAUGGAUCGAUGCCAGUGCGGUUGAAUUCAGCAAGACUGCCGUUCGUGAUGUUGUUGAUUGGGAUUACAUUAAGGAUGAUGACAACAUUGAUUAAAAUGGGACGUGAAGAUAUAUGGUGUGCAAAUUAACCCAACCCAACCAAACCCGUACAUUUUAUCAACCCAACCCAACCCAACCCGUAAAAAAUCACACGGAUUAGGUUGGUUUCACGGAUUGGGCGGGUUAAUUCUAAUUUCUUUAUAAGUUUACCAAAAUUAGAUCUGCUUACCUUUGUUCAUUCAGCAACAACACUUACAAUUCACAGCUAGAGAAUCUAUCCAUUGACAAUUGUGGAUUAAAAUUAUAACACCUGAAUUCAAACAUAUCCUUAUGAAGUUAUGAAUUUGUUCAUACUUCAAAUGAUUUUUUUUUUCCAAGCUAAUAAAGCAACGACUUUGAUCAAACGACGACGUUGAAGGAAUUACGUAUUUUCAAUGUCCUUUGCCAGACAGACGCUGGAGAGAGGGAAAGGAGAAGACUGGCCUAAUUAAGAUAUCUCACAAAGAUUAUUAUUGAGUUAAAAUGUUAUUGUAAAAGAUGUUUAAUACAAUAAUAGUACUUCUUUUGCAUUGUUAUAAUGAGGCUGGCGGGUUUCCUCAGAGGAUGGAUCUGGCUCGCUAGUAUGCAUUUGGGAAGCUGCUAAUUAUCGGCCAUAAAAAGUCAGGGGGUUGUGGCUCGUCCGUCGCCCAGAAAUUCCUAAACUCAUAUAUCAAACUUCAGAUGAACUUGGGCAUUAUGUAAAUAUGUAUUUUUGAGAAUUAAACUAGUGCGUUAGAAAAAUUUUGAGCCAUUGUAAUCAUUUUAUUUUGCUAAGAGAAAAUUUUACUCUGUGUUUCGCUUUGCCUUUUGUUUUUUCUGUGAUAAUAUGAUUCAUACGAAUGUGAUUACACACUAUCAUGCAUCUAUUUUCAUUUGCUUGUCAUGAAUGAUCAACAUGCUCGAAAUAUUUAUUUAGGUUGGAAAUAUUUAAAUCUAUUAAAAUACUAUACACACCCAUUUAAAAAUAAAAAUAUGAUUAUCAUAAUGAUCGCGAAGAUAACACGAUAUCAUACAUAAAAUAAAAUAUUUCGCAAAAAAGAAAAGAUACACUUGAAUACAUUGGUAUAAAAAAUAUUUUAGUGGAUUCAAGUAGCACUAAUGCCCCCUUAUCAAAAAAUAUAUAAAGAUAACUAAUCUGAUUGGGUAUACCGUGUGUGUGUGUAAUAUUUUUUGAUAUUAUUAUAUAAUAUUUUUUAAAAAGAAGAGAGUGGGCAAAGUCCAAAUCAAUUUUCUAAUCCCUAUCUCCUUUAGGAUUUCUAGUCAAAGAGGCUAAAUUGCACGAAAUUGUGCUAGCUUAUUUGAUUUUAAAAUUUUCCAAUGCACUGUAACACACUCUCAUGCUUGUACAUAGCUCGAAAAUCUCUAGAAUUUACCAGAGUAGUGUACCAUGUAGCUUGUACAUAGGUUUUUCUGGAACACUCCAAGCGUUACUAAGCAUAAGAGCUUUGAGAACUCUCUAGACAUAAAACAUUCAAGGGUAGGCCUACCCUAAAAAUAGGGCAUGAUGAUUGCCAUUUGAGCAUACAAGAAGUAAGAACAAAUCAAGUAUAUUUGUAAGCUCCCAAACUCUCUCGUACACACUCUUGUGAAUAAUAUGCUUUCUCUUUGACUACAUUACUCUCUCUUCUCUCUAGUUUUUUUCGUAAGUAUCAUAGCUUAGCUAGUCGAAAAGUUCAAGUAGGAAUGAUAAUUUUUCCUGACAGGAUGUGGGAUCCCAUCUCAUUUGGGACGGGAUUGGGACACAUUUUUAUCCCACAAAAAAAUAUAGGGACGGGAGUAGAAAUUUUUUUAUCCCACUUGUAUAUAUGGGACAGGACUGAGAUUAACAAAUUCAGUCUCGUCCCGUCCCGUCUCAUUACCAACUAGGGAUGGAAAUUUUUCCAAUUGGGAUGGGCUCUCGCAGAAUCCCAUUUAUUUUGGGAUGCAAUUGAGACAUAUUUUUAUCCCAAAAAAAUAUAUCGAGAGUGAGACUUUUUUUUAUCCCACUUGCAUAUUCGGGACGAGACUGAGAUUAGUAAAUCUCACCCUAUCCCAUCCCAUUGCCAACCCUAAGUUCAAGGCUUACUUUGCAAUUAUCUCAUAAAAGUUGUUUUAAGUACCACAGGAGUUUGUUGUGCAAAAUACUCAUCCCGUGACAUUAGCUAAAUAAAAUUAUUUGAAAGCCACUUACCCAAACUAUUAAACAAAUAUUAUUCUUUUAAUAUGUAAUCUUUUAAUAUAAAACUUUUGUCUUAAUUUUCUAUCUCCUACAAUAAAUUUUAUGAUUUUAAAAAUUGAAAAAAUUAGUAACUUUUAGAUAGAGCAUUCCUUACUGUGAAAAGAAAUAUGAAUGGUAAUAUAAAACUUACUUAUUAUAGUAUAAUGCUUUUAGUUUUUUGAAAUAUAGGUUCUUAUUUUUUUCAAGAUAAAGUUCAAAGAAAACAAGUUAAAUGUUGUGGAAAAUCUUACGCACAUACAAUAAAUUAUGACAGCUAAAUGCAAACCUGGCUGAAGUAUUAGUUGUUUUAUUACAGAGACAAAAGGACAAUAUCACUAUCCAAGUCAAAAGCAACUCAAUGUGAGUCUUAGGGCACUCGCAGUGAAUCCCAAGAUAAACUAAUUUCACUAGCAAGUUGGAUACCAAAGAGUAAGGCUUCAGCCUCAAUUAUAUUAACAUUAGCUGAGUAAACAUUAAAUACCACAAUCAAUCUCAGAAAUCAUAAUUAAACUAUCAUGAUUAAAAAUAAAGUUUUUUUUUUAGAUAUCCGUUUGUAGUAUCUCUUUAGAUGACAAGUAGGAGAUAAAGUAAAUAAAUAUUGGUUGCGUAAAUAAAAAUAAAUAAAUUUUUUAACUGAAAAAAAAAUUCCUAAAAACUAAAUAGUUCAAACUUUUUUUAACAUGAAAUAAAUAUUUGAUGCGUAAAUAAAAAAAAUUUAACUGAAAAAAAUUCCCAAGAACUAAAUAGAUCAAACUUUUUGUUUAACAUCAUGGGUUUUGUAUAUUCAAUUGAACCGAACAACUAAAUUAAAUCGAAAUUACCAUGUUCGGUUCAAAUGAAUAGACGAAAACCGAACAGUUUAUAUUUUUAUGAACUGAUGGUGCGUUUACUUCAUGAAAUGAAAAUAUGGUGGAAUGAGAAUGUGUUAAAAUGAAAAUGAGGAAUGAGAAUGAGAUUCUAAUGUUUAUUUAGUAAAAAUAAAGGGAAAUGAGAAUGUGCUGGAAUGUCAUUGAUGUGUUUAUUUGACAAAAUAAAUGACAAAAGUAUCAAUUCGGAUCCUGCUAAUGAUAGUUUGCCAUAUCCUUUGUCAUUGAACUUUCUUACAAAUGCUGUGGUUUGUUGUAGUAUAAUUAGUUCAAUCAGAAACUUCCUUGAUGUUAAUAUAGAUAUGAGUGUGCUGUGAAUAUUGAGGACUUCAUUAGACUAAGUGAUGUGAUGAUGGAGCAUUCACUUGGUCCCAAUGGAGGUUAGUCAGCCCAUUGUUGUUUACUCUUUCUUGCUUUAUCACGCAAUGAUAUUCCUUUGCUUCACAACAAAUUUCAUGAAAUUAACUUCAAUCGAGUGGCUAUGUUCAUACGCUAUUGAGAUUUUAUGGACAAUGAUUUGGUAGACUUUAUAUGCCGUCUUCUUUCUUUUUGCAGUGAUAUGUUUGUAUGCAAUGCACUUGUACUUGUUCUAUGGUUUCUAAAGUAGGCGUUUUUAUGAUAAACUAGGUCUUGGGUAUUGUAUGGACUAUCUAGAGAAGAAUAUUGACUGGUUGCAGUCGAAAUUGGAACCACUUUUGAAAGGUAAGAAGUGGCCAUUUUCCUUCAUUCUAAUGCCAAUAAUGCUGUCAUGAGACUCAUAAAAAUUGUUAAAACGUUAAUGUUUUUGGUAUUUUGCAGAUCAUUAUCUUCUGUUUGAUUUUCCUGGCCAAGUUGAAUUAUUUUUUCUUCAUUCCAAUGCCAAGAAUGUUAUAAUGAGACUCAUAAAGAAGUUAAAUCUCAGGGUAUUGUUACAUCUUACGUCUAUGAAGGGACUCAAAGAGUUGAGAUGAAUUCAUCAUUAUUAUUUUGAUGCCAGAAUUGUGCAAUUCUCAGUUGCUUCCUUUCACAUGCAGUUGACUGCAGUGCAUCUAGUUGAUGCGCAUCUUUGCAGUGACCCCGGGAAGUAUGUUAGUGCUUUGCUUCUCUCGUUGUCGACGAUGCUACAUCUGGAAUUUCCCCCAUGUCAAUGUCUUGUCUAAGAUCGGCCUGAUUGAGAAUUAUGGAAAGCUAGGUGUGGUUUUAAGUGUAGCUCUCCUACUUGUUUGUUUAGAUUGAGAUAUCAGAUAUUGUCACAAGCUCCUAUCUGCUACAUUUCCUCACCAAUCAAUUACUUUGGGUAUGUUGCAGCUUUUAAUCUCGAGUACUAUACGGAUGUGCAAGAUUUGUCAUUUUUACAGCAUGCUCUGGGUCAGGACCCUCGUUCUGCUAAGUAUAGGUUUGAAUUCUAGCUGAAUCAAUGAUGCAAAUUAUGUCCAUUGCUAUUUCUGACUGUCGUUUCUAUCAUUUUCAAUUGUUACCUCCCCUUGCCAUCUACUGCCAUACUGCAAUGCCCACACAAAUGUUAUGAAAUUUGUCAAUGGAAAUGACAUUCUAUUUGUCCAGAGACAGCUCUUAGAUGCAAGUGAACAAUUUUUGGCUUUGGCCGUAGUACAGCCUUAGAUUUCAACUUGCCAUAUCUUGUCUCGGAAGUCAAAAGAAAGCAUAUAUGUUAGCCAAAUUUUAUUUGAAUUUCUUGUGUAACAAUGAAUGGGGAAAAAAAACAGUUCCUCUUUUGUUUUGAUCAGACUCAAUGAAUAAGUGGUUAAAAUGUGCCUGUACUAGAAAUAUAGAUGUGUGGUUUCAUAAAAUUUUCUUGAUCUUAAGAAAGAGUUAUCUUGAAAAGAAGAUAACAUGGGGAAUUGAACAACUAUACAGUCAUAUUGAUGUCUGUCAACUUGGGUCAUAUGGUGUCGUUUGGAUGGAGAUGUUAGGUCCCAGAUGGUAAACUUGUUAUCGAAUUCCAGUCUACUUCAUUCAUGCUUUGAUGACAUAUGUGGUGCAGCUUCUUAUCUAAGACCUGCAUAUGUUACAGUCAACAUUCUGUUCUGUAUUUGGCUGCCAUUCUUUUCAAUGAAUUCAAACCACUUUCUGAAUACUUGGAAAUUCAUCCAGUGUUGUCAUUGAGAUGCCAAUAUGAAAAGAAGCCAUAAUUGCCCUUGAUAGUAUGCUUAUUGAUUGCCUCUUGCCUCACUCAACCUCAGGAAUCUGCUUGUAUGGUGUUCUUCUAAUUUCAAUUGGAGAUAAAUAAUAUCUGUUGUUCAAAUAUAUUUUAUUUACAAGCUGUUAAUAAAUCUGCUUGCAGAAAGCUUACAAAGGAGCUGUGUGAUGUAAUAGAAGUCUACAGUCUGGUCAAUUUUUCAACCUUAGAUAUUCAGGUCACCAGUUUCUCUUGAAUUCUUUCUUGAGUUUCUUUGAAUUAUUUGUGAAUAAGAUCUUAGUUGACUGCUUCUCUUCAGGAUAAGGAAAGUGUGGCAAAACUUGUGAAGCUGAUAGGUAAAAGCAAUGGGUACAUCUUUGCUGGCAUGGAUGCCAGUGCAGUUGAAUUCAGCAAGAUUGCCGUUCGCGAUGUUGAUUGGGAUUAUUUCGGAUAUCCUUCUUUUCACCUAUUUUCAAUCUUGUUAUUCUCAUAUUCAUAAAACUUUUUGGUUAUUUAAUUAUGGUUCAUCAUAUGCAUCUGCAUCUUCUAACUUGUUCGUUUGAGAAACUAAUUUUGCCGUUAGGUAGGCUUCGAGCUUGAUGAGUUGAUUCAUGCUUUUUCAUAAAUGUACCAAAAUCAUGGAAACUUCUUUUUCCCAGAUAUUGUAUCCACACUUUUCCCAUAUAAUUGGGUCAGACAAGUUUUGCUUAACAAAGAUAUCUACAGUAGCCGAAGUGCAGGAGAAGUACAUUAAGGAUGAUGACGAUGUUAACUAAAAUGAGACGUGAAGAUAUGUGGUGUGCAAACCGUAAGCCUGCCUCUUAAUUUUGUGCAUGUUUACUUGCUUGUGAUUCACGUUUGUUAAUCUAUUUUGCUCUCUUGCAGGAGUUAUAAAGUUUUCAAUCAAUCAAACAUUUAACUCAAGUCCUUAGCUCUUCACGGCUUGAAUGGGUCAGAUAGGACAAGCGCCGAAGAGGUGGUUUUAAUCAAACCCCUCCUAAUUAUGAUGUAUGGUCCGAAUCUCGGACUUUUUGUACAAUAUCAAGCGAUUUUUUUUUGGUUGAAUCGGCUAGUGUACGCAAAUGUCGAUUAUUGAUUUUUCUCCAGUAUUGUUUGUAAUUACAAGAAACGAAGUAAUGAAAUUUAUCACUGCGUUCAUAGUUAUGCUUAAGCUCAAAGAUUACCGUCAAGAUCAUUUUGGGCCCUCAAAGAAACAUGAUGUUGACACAUGUAAAAUUAUGAAGCUUGUGAUUAAAAUACUUUUCACAUAUAUAUGUUAAGUUCUAUUAAUAAUUAAAUAUAUGAAUAAAUAUGGUCAAUGAGGAGAGGAUAAAAUAAAAUGGUUUCAUUUUUUGAAUUACCCAUCCGCUUCAAACUUCUAAGAAGUAGAUAUACAAUCAGUGGAAUACUGAAUUGAGUACGAGCUGCGGAUAACUUAUAAAAUUGGGAUACAAGCUUCAAGGAAAGUGUAUUGCUAUUCAAAUGUAGAUUUCAAAUUAAGAAGAUAUGCCAACAAAUUAUUCUAAAUGAUGAAAUGAGCUAUCUUGAUCAAAAGGUCAAGAACCUACCUUACUUCUCUUAGAGAUAACUUGCAUCAACCGUUGUGGUAUUGAUACUUGUCUUCAGCUAGUAAAAGUGAAAGUUUCACAAUUGAAAUAAAGCUAAGGGAAGAUGCUAUGCUCCAUUUAUUAUUAUUAUUAUUAUUGACGUGGUCGAGAAGUAAAGCCGUGCAUAUGAUGAAGUAUAAAUAAGAAUGCAAUAGCCCGGAAUUCAUUUACACAAACACUUCAAUAUCCUUUCGAUCACUUUUGCAAACAUCAAUUUGUCUCCUCUUGUAUUCACCAUGGUUGAUGCCAUCGUUUCCCCUCUCGUGGAGCAGCUGACUUCCUUCGCUGCUAAAGAGAUAAUACAACAGGUGAUCGAAGUUACACCCCCCAUAGUAUAAAUACUUCUAAUGAUUUUAAUUGGUUUUGUUUUUAUCGAAAACAUUAACUUUGCUUUAUUUUACGCAUUUAGGCAUUUUAAAUUUUGAAAUUUGAAUUGAAUUUAAUUAAAAUGUGAUUUAGUUAGUAACCACUUUUUUUUUUCAUUUAUAUUCUCAAUAACUACCCAUAUUUUGGUAACUUACUGUAACCCCCGUAUCUAAGAAAUUAUCAAAACCCACAAUUUUAACUCCACAUAAAUAUUCCAUGUUGAGCUAAGUUCGAUGUUGAGGUAAGUUUUUUGCAUAACAUUCAAAUUUGUCAAAUAGUCAUUAAUUUAAUGUUUAGUAAAAACUCAUCUCUGAAAAAUUUCAUAAUUUUCUUACAUUAUUUGAGUCUGGUAAGUGACUUCAUAUAAUUUCUUUUCAAUUUAAAUUUUAAUUUGGUUUCUGAUAUAGUCUCUUUACUGAAUUUAUAUCUUUUAUGAUUCUUGGAUUUUGGGCUCCAACUUUUUAGGAUUUGAUAGUCACAUUUUAUGGCAUGCUUAGAUUGAUGUUCAUGAUUUUUAGUACUCGUUAAGUGACUGAGAAUUUGACAAAAGUUUGAAAGGAAAUCCGUUUCACGAUUCUUAUGUGGAAGGUUCGUAAAAUCAUGAAAUUUGGAUAGGAUUCAUUAGCAAUAUGUACAAGACUGUCCAUAAAGUUUCAUAAUUUUUCAUUCGGUCGGGGGUGGUACAGGUGAAACUUGUGGUUGGUGUUGAAGAAGAAGUGAAAAGCCUUACCAGCCACCUUCAAGCCAUUCAAGCUGUGCUCAAUGAUGCAGAGGAAAAGCAAGUGAAGGACAAAGCUGUUAGACAUUGGCUGGGUAGGCUCAAGUAUGCAUCCUACGACAUUGAAGAUGUGUUGGAUGAGUGGAUCACAGCUAGACACAAAUUGCAAAUUGAGGGUGGCGUUGAUGACAAUGCUCUUGCUGCUCCUCAAAAGAAAAAGAAGGUAUGUUUCUGCUUUCCUGCCUCUUGUUUUGGAUUCAAACAAGAAGAAUUUGGUUUCAGACAAGUCUUUCUACGUUAUGACAUUGCCAACAAGAUCAAAGAAAUGAAUGAAGAGCUACAUGCUAUUGCUACUCAAAAAGACAUGUUUAAUCUUGUUAAGAGUGGCAAUAAAAGUGGUGAAAGACCAAGGCGUGUACAGAGUACCUCCUUGAUUGAUGAGGAAGAGAUUUGUGGUAGAGUUGGUGAGAAGAAUGAACUCAUAAGCAAGCUGUUGCGUGAGAGUAGCGAGCAACAAAAAGGCCUCCAUAUCAUCUCAAUUGUUGGUAUGGGAGGCAUAGGGAAAACUACUCUUGCACAACAAGCUUGUAAUGAUGACGAGGUGAAGAGAAAGUUUGACAAAAUUAUGUGGGUGUGUGUAUCAGAAACUUUUGAGGAGUUUAGGGUUGCCAAAGCAAUGGUUGAAGCUUUGGAUGGUCGUGAAUCUCAUUUAGGUGAAUUCCAAUCUCUUCUUAAACAUAUUGAUGAAUCCAUUGCAGGGAGGAGCUUUCUUCUUGUCUUGGAUGACGUAUGGGAUGGAAAUUACGUGAGAUGGGAACCAUUCUAUCGUUGUCUAAAGAAUGGUCUCCAUGGAAGUAAAAUUAUAGUUACCACACGUAGUGGGUCCGUUGCAUCCAUGAUGGGAUCCAUAGAUAUUAUUCCCAUUAAGGAAUUAGCUGAAGAGGAAUGUUGGUUGUUGUUUAACAAGAUAGCAUUUUUUGGUAGGCCUAUCGAGGAACGUGAAAAAUUCGAACGAAUUGGGCGAAGAAUUGCAGGCAAGUGCAAAGGUUUACCUCUUGCUGCAAAGAUAUUAGGGAGUCUUAUGCGCUCUAAACAAACUGAAGAAGAGUGGAAAAUAAUUUUAACUAGUGAUUUAUGGAAAGUAGAAGAGAUUGAGAAAGAUGUUUUGUCCUCUUUAUUGUUGAGUUACAAUGAUUUGCCAUCUAGAGUAAAAAGAUGUUUUUCAUAUUGUGCUGUCUUUCCAAAAGACUACAAUAUAAAAAAAGACAAACUAAUUACAUUGUGGAUGGCUCAAGGUUAUCUUAGUGCAGAAGAAGAUGAGGAGAUGGAGACUAUAGGUGAAGAGUAUUUUAGCAUCUUAGCUUCUCGCUCUUUCUUUCAAGAGUUUGAGAAAAGUUAUGAUAAUCGUAUUAUAGAGUGCAAGAUGCAUGAUAUGGUACAUGAUUUUGCCCGAUUUGUAAGUCAAAAUGAAUGUUUUUCGAUGGAAAUUAAUGGUAGUGAGGAACCAAACACCAUAAACUCUCUUGAUGAGAAGGUUCGUCAUUUAAUGUUAAUCUUUAGUAAAGGGGCUUCAUUACCUGUUUCCACUCUUAGAGUUAAAAGAAUGCGUACCCUCUUAAUUAACGAUAGUAGAUCUGAUCAUUCAUUAUUAAAUGGUGAGAUCCUAGAAGAAUUAUUUAGGGAAUUGACAAGUUUAAGGGCAUUAGAUUUUGGCGGAUCGUACACACAUUUUUCUUUGACUCUGGAGAUUCCAAGAAACAUAGAAAAGCUGGUACAUUUAAGAUACCUUAAUUUGUCUUGUCAGAAAAUAGUGGAGCUACCGGAGACAUUGUGCGAGUUAUAUAAUCUACAAAAGUUAGAUAUUAGUGAUUGUUUUAAUCUUAAAGAAUUACCUGAAGGGAUUGGGAAGUUAAUAAACAUGAAGCAUUUACGAAAUAGAAGUACUAGUUCUUUAAGGUACAUGCCAGUAGGGAUUGGGAGAUUAACGGGUCUUAGGACCUUGGGUGAGUUCCACGUGAGUGCAGGAGGAGGUGUUGAUGGUGGGAAAGCAUGUAGGCUUGAAUCUCUUAAAAACUUGGAACACCUUCAAGUAUGUGGUAUACGUAGACUGGGUGAUGUAUCAGAUGUGGGCGAGGCUAAGCGAUUAGAACUUGACAAAAAGAAAUACCUCAUCAGUUUGACCCUUGAGUUUGAAAAGAAGGAGGAAGGAGGAGGAAGGAGGAAGAACGAGGACGAUCAACUUCUUCUUGAAGCCCUACAACCACUUCUCAAUUUAAAGGAAUUAGAGAUACAGUACUACCGAGGCAACACUGUUUUCCCCAGCUGGAUGACGUCAUUAACCAACUUAAAGAGUUUAGAUCUCUCUUUGUGCCUAAAUUGCGAGCAGCUGCCUCCUUUGGGAAAAUUGCCGUCCCUUGAAAAACUCAGCAUAAUGUUUAUGCCUGUGAAAAGAGUGGGUGAUGAAUUUUUGGGGAUAGAAAGUGGUCAUCGUGACUCAUCUUCAUCUUCAUCGGUUAUUAUUGCCUUCCCCAAAUUGAAAUCACUUUCAAUUGAGUCUCUGGACGAAUUGGAGGAGUGGGAUUAUGGGAUUACAAGAACGGGAAACACCGUCAUCAACAUCAUGCCACGUCUUUCUUCAUUGGAAAUUAAUUACUGCCCCAAAUUAAAGGCACUGCCCGACCACAUUCAUCAAACGACAACAUUGAAGGAAUUGCGCAUUUGGGGGUGUGACCUUCUGGAAGAACGUUACCGCAAGGGAGAAGGAGAAGACUGGCCUAAGAUAUCACACAUUCCCAACCUCCAUAUUGGGCUUUGACAAGUAAUUUCUUCUCUUACUCUGAUUUGCUUUGUUGUUGUUUUUAAUCUAAUUAAGAAGCGUAAAUAGCAUUUUGAAUCAAACUCUAUAUCAGAAAUCUGCAAUACUUACUUUCUAAUAUUCUGAUUUUCAUAUCCUAUGAAUAUACGAUUUUUAAUUUGUGAGAUGGGUAACGUUACUGUAAAAGAUUAUUAAUGCAAUAUGAGUAAUUCUUUUGCAGGACAAGUGACCUACAUUUAGUUUGGCUUUGGAGUUGAAUAAUAACCUUUCGGGAACUGGUGUGGACUGGCAAAGGAUGAUGAGAUAGUUUUUUGAGUGAGUAAAUUUUGGGAGCUUGAGUGUAUUGGGAUUUGCAAUUACAAUCAUCCUCUGCUUCAGGUGAUUUCUUCUCUUGCUCUGUCAUUGUUUGUUCUCUAAUUCAAAAGCAUAAAAUAUUUCAAUCAAUUCUUAUACCACGAAUAUGCAAAAGUUUCUAAUAUUUUAUUUCCAUCUGUUACAAGAUCAAACUGAAGCAGAACUCAAACAAAAGUAUGCUACUUCUUGCGGAAAUCUUGCCUUUGUUCAGAUUAUGAAACCAUUUCCAUGCAGCAAAUUCAUCCAAAAGUUUGAAUAAGUUUCAUGGUCGGACACUGUUGGCUUCUUUUUCUUCUGGGGUGCAUUUAGGUGCUAUCAAGUGACAGCUGUAAGUAUGAUUGCACUAAGCUGCUGCUGGGAAAUUUGAGGUUUUGAUGGCUGCCCAUGUUAUUUUCAAGAAACUAUUGAUGUAAGAAGCUGUGGUUCUUUUCAUCAGCUUGAACCUGAAACUGUCGCUAUGGAUAACUCAGGUUUUUGUUAUCAACUAUAUCAUCUUUUUCACUAUUUUGAAACUCUUAAGAUUAAACGUUAGUAAAGUUGUUUCAGCUAUUCAAAUGAAAAACUCAUUGAUUUGAGACUUCCUUCAUUAUUGUUUCUAAUUACAAUGCUAACGAUCCAGAUAAGAUAAUAUUUAAUCGGCGAAGGUGUCCCUUGGAAGUACAUCCUUCUUUUUCUUUUAUUAUAUAAAUUCUUGCAAUGAGCUUAGUGAAGCUGUUGUGCUAAUCAUGCCACUGCAUAAUUUGGCCCCUAAUGUGGGUACUCUGUUACAUUGUUCUGCAAAUUCUCCAGAAGUUAAAAUCAAUAAAUUUUCUAUUAGCUCUAGUGCUUUGACCUAAAUGCUAUUCUAUAUUCUGAUUACAAUGUUUUAACCUUUAAAUUAACUACCCCUAGAUGUUGGAUUUUCUAGAACUUCAAAUUAUAUAUAACCUUUAAAUUAUAUAUUUCUGUGUCUCUAUUUAUAGAUGACAUUUAAGCAUCCAUAAACCGUCAGACAGAGGAAGGGGGUUCAGUGCAAAGAUUCUGUUGACCUAGGGUUGACUGCAUAUGUCACUUGUUCGCAAUCUAAUAUUUAUUUUAUAUUUUGAAAAAUUUAAUGGGUAAUCCUAAUUGUUUGUUUUGGCAGGUAUGUGUUGUUAUCUCCUUCUAUCUUACAGUCGUACCUAAAUAGCAUAGUUUCAUCUGUGUUACCAUGUGAUGUACAUAAUUUCACAUUUGCCUCAGAUUAAGCUUAAUUUCCCACAGAAUAGAGCUGUCGCGACUGGACUUAGUUUGAUGUCCAAAGAGGUAAAUUAUUGGCAUGCCUAGAUAAUUUGGCCAUUUCCUAAUUCAUAAGUCUACAUUAAUUUUGAUUUUGAGUUGACUGAUUUCUUUUCAAGGUCUGCUUCCUUAACGGAGUGACCAAUGUUUUUCAACUAAAUUUAUCAUAUGAUGCAGGAAGCAGGGCAGGAUAUGAAAUGAGAAGCUCAUUGGUGGAAGUAUUGCCAGUAGCAGAACCCAAUGAAAAUGAAACUAUUUCAAGGCAGCAGUUGGCAGUUGCAAGUGAAUGGAGGCCCUUGACAAAAUUCUCAAGCAGUUGCAAUGCAAUUACGAUCAUCCUCAGCCUCAGGUAAUUUCUUCUCCUGCUUUGUUUUUAUUUGUUAUCUAAUUAGGAAGCAUAAAGUAUCUUGAAUCAUUUUCUGUAUCUGGAAUAUAUGCAAGAGUUUCUAAAAUUUUGAUAUGAGUGUAAUGAUGGUAAUUUCUGUUUUCUGUCUGUCAUCAAAUGUUAGAAAACUUUCAUUGAGACCCUUGAACCGAGUCAUUUUUGACAAGUGAAGUGCCGAAGAGUGAAGAGUAAGAAUGGUGCUAGAUUGGGGAAUAAAGCAAAAGGAGGUAAAUUAUUGGCAGCUUCUUCAGCCUUAUUUUCUUUGGACCAGUGCCUAAUUCACAAGUCUCCAUAAUUCGGCUUUUGACCAGUUGAUAGAUAAAAUUUUAAUUUCAUUGGUGCUAAUGUACCCGUGAAGCAGGCAGAGAAGGACUGUGGAAAAGAGAAGGUUUUUAGUGAAAGCUUAAACGCAGGUAAUUCUAUAAAUUAUAUGUUUUUGCUGAUUUAUCUAAAUCAGGAAAUUUUAUUUCCAUCUGUUACAAUAAAACAGAAACAGAACACAAAGAAAAAUAGUCUACCUCUUGUGGCAAUCUUGCCUUCAUUCAGACUAUGAAACCAUUUCCUUUCACCAAUUUCUUCCAAAAGUUUGAACACGUUUCAUGGUUGGACAUAGUUAGCUUCUUUUUCUUUUGGUGCAUUUAGGUGCUAUCAAGUGACAGCCAUAAGUAUGAUUGCAUUAUUGGGAAAUUUUAGGUUUUGAUGGCUCCCCAUGUUAUUGCCAAGAAAUUUUAAGUCCUCAUGUCAGAAGCUGCGUUUCUUUUCAUCAGCCUGAACCCGAACUGAGGUUUUUGUCAUCAACUAUAUCAUCUUUUUCACUGUUUUGAAACUCUUAAGAUUAAACUUCAGUAAAGUUGUUUCAGUUAUCCAUGUAAUCAGGCUAAGGAUAUUUAGCAGCUUAUUUAGGCAACUGCCAGAAUUCAGUUUGUUUGCUCGAAACUUGUAUGGUGACAAGGAUACUGGCAAGGAUAGUGAGAUAGAUUUUUGUGUGAGUGAAUUUUGAAAGCUUGGGUGUUCUGGGAUUUGCAAUUGCAAUCAUCCUCUGCUUUAGGUGAUUUCUUCUCCUGUUCUGUCUUUAUUUUCUCUCUAAUUGAAAGCAUAAAGUAUUUCAAUCAAAUUCUGUACCAGGAAUACGAAAAACUUACUAAUAUUUUAUUUCCAUCUGUUUGCAUUGAUAACUUGGCCGCAUAUGUACUAGUUAAAGAACAAACAGAAGCAGAGUUCAGGAAAAAGUUUCUUCGGCCACCAUAUUUGAAAAUGAAACCAUUUCCAGGAAGCAGUUGGCAGCAAAUUCAUACAAAGUACAGACAAUGAUGAGCAAAAAGGUGAUUCGCAAUUUCAUUUUUUAAAAAUGAAAUUAUUUGUUAAGUUGGAGCUGAUAUUGUUAGAAGGCCAUUGAGCUAACCUAUGACACUACUUGCCUAGAUUGCAGGAGGUCAAGACUCAAAAGAUGCACUGAAUUUUAAAAGGCAUGCAAUAAUUCUUAUGGCCAUUUGUCAAUGGUGGAAUGCUUUUAGCUUCUUUUCCUUUCGUGCAUUUUGGGGUUCUAUCAAGCGACAGCCGUAUGCAUGGAUGGAUAUAGCCGCUGCGUUGAUUUCUAAUGCGUUGUAUGAUGUUAUAGCAACUAUCCAUCUGGUCAAUGUUUCAAAAGAAUAAAACACAGGGAAAAAGAGAAAGCAAGUGGCCAAUCAAGUAUUCAUGUCCCAAAGAAAAGAAUGAUUCGACAAUAGCAUUAAGGGUUAAUUGGACACAAGAGAAGUGUUUUAACCACUUCAAGGAAUGUAAAUGUAAUUUUCUAUUCUGAAGAAAAAGUAAAUAUAUGCACUGUCAAUUAAUCUUUGGUCAACCAGCAACAUUCAUAAUUUCGUGUAAGUUUCAUUUCUGUUUGUUGGAAAUAGCAGUGUAUUUCUUAGAGUUUGUAAAAAAUGGAAAGAUUUUAAAAUAUAAAUUUCACAUCUGUUUAUUACUGUUGUUUGAUCUAUUUUCUUAUGUAGAAUUUUCGGAAUCUGUAGGACAUUAAUUUAUAAUUUUGAGAUUUUGUAGCCAUAAAUGUUUUUGUUCUUUUUUUCUUUUUUUUGUUGGCAUUUUAUUUUGCUCCUUUAUCUAUAUGCAUGUUGACUAAAGCUAAUCUAGAAUCAAUAGAGAGGGAUAUUUAUCUAUUUUGUUUAACAUAAGAGUGCUGUAUAAUUUUUCACUAAAUACACCUACAACAAACUAUUAAUAAUAAAGUGAUAGAAGAAUGCCUAAUUUUUCGUACUUUUUAAUUUCUUUCAGCCCUAAAAUAUAGGUAUUAAUGUCAUAAUAAGCCCAUGUGGAUCUCAGUGCCGCAAGUUCGAUAAAUGGCUAUCAAGGAUUACUUAUUAAGUCAAAAGUAUUCAAAGGACAAAAUGGUAAAACUAUAAGGGUGGAGUAAGAUGGCUACCUUGGGUUACAUAGUAAGUCGACUACAUUCAAAGGAUAAAAUAUUAGAACCUGAACGGCGGAGUAGUCGUCGUUAGAACCUGAACGGCGGAGUAAUCGUCGUUAGAAUCUGAAUGAUAUGUCUAAGACGUUGCAUGCAUCAAGAAAAUUGCAGAUGAUUAAACCUUGCCAUCCAUGCGUUGUAUGAGGUUAUAGCAACUAUCUAUCUGGUCACCGUUUUAAAAGAAUAAGACAAAGGGAAAAAGAGAAAGAAAAGAAUGAUUCGACAAUGGCAUUAAAGUUCAACGUACCCCAAGAUCUUGUAAUAAUGCCAUUAAUCAUUCUCUAGCUAGGCUAGCCUUAGAGAAAAGUGAAACUGUUGCACAGGUAGAAUCACACCCCUCAGAGAUAAUGUAUUUAUUCAGCUCUUCGAAUGAAUGAAGUUUAUUUUCUCGUCAAAAAAAAAAACUGCUCGCUCCGCUGGUUUCAUACAAUGUCAACUAGAAACAUCAUACUUUCGUGUAAGUUCAUUUCAGAAUAUUUCUUAGAGUUUGUAUAAAAUGAAAAGAUUUUAAAAUAUAAAUUUAAUAUUUGUUUAUUACCGUUGUUUGGUCUAAUUUCCUCGGGAGAAUUUUCAGAAUUUAUAGGACAUUAGUUUAUAAUUUUGAAAUUUUGUAACCUAAAUGAUUUUUUUUUCGGUUACCAUUUUGUUUUCCUGCUUUAUCUACGUGUAUGUUGACUAAAACUAAUCUAUUUUGUUAAACCUUUACCACUCUAGACAUUGCACUAAAUAUGAGUUCGUGAUGCUUGCAUUUUAUUGAUGCUGAUGAUUCGUUGAAUGUUUUAUGUUUUUGAUUUUUAAGUAUUCCGGAUCGAAGUUUGUGUCUACGCGGAAAUUGUAAAGGCAGCAUAUAAAGUACUCGUCGUUCUUUAGAUUUUAUUGAGUACACUUUUGUCACAUUUAGCGUAUGCUAUACACUACUGAUUUGCGCAUUGACAUAUAUCUUUUUUUUUUAUGAGAGGGGGCUCGUCAAAACGAGCUAAACAGGAACAAACCGGGGGUUAGAAAUCCCAAACAAGUCUUGCGAAAUGAUAGAAUAAACACCCAUAGGAGGGUUAGAGAACACAUGGAGGCCAAGAGGAGCUGAAUGAGCCAUAUUAGCCAUGAAAUCCGCAGCUGAGUUUGCUUCGCGAUAAAUAUGGGUGAUAGCAGUCUGCCAAUUUCUACUUAGUAAUUCCCGGACAGCUGAUAAUAAAGCAGUGAACGCAUUAGGAACAACCACCUGCUUAGAAAUCAUUUGUGUAAUACAAAUACUAUCCACUUCCACCAACAACCGUUUUAUGCCUACAUCCCAAGCAAGAAUUAGGCCCUGAUACAGCCCCCAAAGCUCAGCCAUAAGCACUGACCUGUCCCCAAUUUUCAUACAAAAGCCGGAUACCCAAUGACCAACUGAGUCUCGAAUAACACCUCCCGCUCCUGCUUCCCAAGUAUUUUUACAGGAGCCAUCUGUAUUUAAUUUACACCAUGGCCAAGGCGACGGCAGCCAAUGAAUAUAAAUCUCCUGUCUCCUCGGCUGCUGGCUUAGGCAAGAAUUAUUUACUCUGCAAAUUUCUUUAGCUCUCGCCAUAACAUCCAUAUAGAUUGUUAGACUAUCCACCAGCUUUCCCUCAAAGAAAAAAUGGUUCCUCCAGAACCAUAGCCUCCAAACUACCACACCAAAGAUACAAUCCCAGGGGAGGGGAGACCCAAUCUUCCAUUUAUUUUGCAGGUUCCCAGCAAUCCAUUCUCGUAAGUUCGAAUUGAAGAAAGUGUUAUGACUGGCCAUCGGAACAAGCUUCCGCCAAACCUGCUUGAUACAGCUGCAGUCUCUCAAUGCAUGGAGGAUAUCUUCAACCGCACCCCCACACCUAUCACAAUCCUCAGGAACAUUAAUAUGGCGCCUAACAAGUUCAUCACGAGUCUUGAGUUUCCCAUGCAUAAGCUGCCAAAGAAAAAGGCGGAUGGAUUGAGGCCCCUUCCAACUCCAUGGAAGCUUCCAAUUUCUGUCAUGAACAGCAGCUUGAUGAUAGCAAAGUGAUUCAUAAGCUGACCGAACCGAAAACAUGCCGCUUGGAUCAAAGCCCCAGUAAAUAAUAUCAGCCCCAAGAUGAGGAGCCGGAGGCAAGACUGAAGCAAUCUGCAUGAGAAUACCAUGCGGCAGAAGAUGCUCAAAGCUCGACCAAUUCCAUCCCCCAUGCCCAUUCGUAAAGUCACUCACAGUGGCAUUGAUAAGCUCGUGAGGAAUCGGCAAGAUGGCAAGGCUGAUCAGAGGAUAUUUCGUAGCCCAACAAUCAACCCAGAAUCGAGUUCUAACACCAUCACGAACUGACCAGCGAGCUCCCUGCACUGUUGCCAACCACGUGCUACGAAUAGCCCUCCAAAUCUGAGAACCCGGUUUGUCUGAAAGAGACAUUGGUAGGUUGCGAGACUCCAAACCAUAUUUGGAGCAGAAGACUUGCACCCACAGUUUAUCCGAAUUGGAAACAACCUCCCAGCUCAAUUUCAUCAACAUCGCCUGAUUCAUUUCGUCCAUUUUUUUGAAUCCCAGGCCUCCAUGUUUUUUCGGCUUGCAAAUUUUGUCCCACCCCACCAUACUCAUCUUGUGACUCUUUGAAUUCCCAUCCCAAAUAAAUCUUCGACAAGCUUUGUCUAUUUUAUGUCUCACUGGAGAAGGAAGUAAGGUCGUUUGCAUGGCAUAAACAGGCAUUGCUUGCAGGACUGAUUGAGCCAGAGUGACGCGUCCAGCAAAAGAUAGAUGAGCCGCGUUCCAACCAGUUAACCGCUUAUCCACUUUAUCAAGGAUGGAUUGAUACGUGUAUUUAUUAACCCGCGAAUGGAUUAAGGGCAUUCCAAGAUAAUCACCCAAAUUAUUUGUGGCCGAAACUCCCAAAGUCGAGCCUAUGAUAUUGGCAUCCCGAGAAGCGACAUUUUUUGAGAAGAAAACUUUAGUUUUCAUUUUGUUGACUUUUGCUUCCGAACUCCUACAAUAAUUAUCCAGAACAGCAUCUACGACAUAAGCUUGAUCAAUUGAAGCUUCCGCAAAUAAAAGCAAAUCAUCUGCAAAAAAGAGAUGCGUUAAAGGAGUUCCAUAUUUGGCCAACCGGAUAAGCCUCCAUCUCCUCUCCAUCACCGCUUGGGUUAUACCAUGGCUUAACCGUUCAAUGCACAGAACAAAAAGAUAAGGCGAGAGGGGAUCGCCCUGACGGAUACCCCUUCCCGGAGUGAAAGCUUAUGUCGCCUCGCCAUUCCACAAAAUACGCAUACUAGCUGAAGUUACGCAUUCCAUGAUUAGUCUAGAUAAGUGAAUUGGAAUACCAGUCUGGUUAAGCGUAUCAAAAAUGAAAUCCCAACUGAGCCGGUCAUAAGCCUUCUCAAGGUCGACCUUAAUGGCCAUAAAUCCUUUCCUGCCAGUUUUUCUGCGCAUAGAGUGAACUACUUCCUGAGCCACUACAAUAUUAUCUACUAUAUGCCUCCCAGGAACAAAGCUCGUCUGAUUGGGGCUUAUUAGAUUGGGCAGCAGUGUUUGCAAUCGAGUGGCUAUAAUUUUAGUCACCGUCUUGUAGGCCACUGUGUAUAGGCUUAUGGGCCUAAACAUCUUUAAGCUAGUGGGGUGCUCCUCUUUAGGAAUCAAAACCAAGAGGGUAGUAUUUAUCUCUUGCGGCACCUUCCCCGUUGUAAAAAUAUCAUGAAUAAACCUGCAAAACGACGGACCAACCACAUGCCAUUGGGAUUGAUAAAAUAUAGCGUGCAAACCAUCCGUACCUGGGGCUUUCAGCGGCUUCAUGCUAAACACAACGUUCCGAAUUUCCUCCCUCAAAAUUGGGGCUGCAGCCCCAUCUACGUCAUGAGAAUCCAAGGCUGGGAAAAAGUUUGGAGCAUGGUAAUUCCGAUAAGUUGCAUUAUCACUUGUAAAUAGGUCAGAAAAAUACCCCACUACAUGCCUCCUUAUAUCCUCCUCAUCAUAUAGCCAAUUCCCCGAACAGUCUCGGAUGGCCUCAAUUCUAUUCCGCCGCCUUCGAGCAAUGGUUUUUUGGUGGAAAAAAUUCGUAUUUCUGUCCCCAUGCAGAAGCCAAUCCUUUCGAGAUUUCUGAAGCCAAAGAAUUUCCUCCGAUUCAUCACCAUUUCGAGCUCAUUUUGCAUGCGGGCUUAUAAGCGCAACAAACUGUUAGAGCUAUAAUUCUCUAGAGUAGCUUGAAUUCCAUUAAUCCGAGCCAUAAGCCGGCGUUUUCUCUGAAAGAUAUUCCCAAACACAUCUCGAUUCCAAGCUUGAACCUCCUGGACAAAAUGAGAGGCUGCUGCACUAUAAUGGAUUUGCGGAUUCCACACCCGCUUAAUAAAGUUAUGAAAAUGCUCGUGAGUUAACCAAGCAGCCAAAAAGCGGAAAGGCCUGUUCCUCCUGUGACCGGCCACAGCUCUCUCAAACCGAACCAGCACCGGCCUGUGAUCCGAGGCAACCUUCGGGAGGUGGAGGACAGAAUUAUUCGGAUACUUAUGUAGCCAAUCACUAUUGCACAGAGCUCUAUCAAGCCGUUUAAAGAGCAAUCCACGUGACCAAGUAAACCUUGGACCUUUAAACUUUAAAUCAAAAAUUUGGUGCCCAUCAAACCAUUUCCGAAACAGAUUACACACUCCUGGGUUCCUGGCCUCACCCCCCUGCUUUUCAGAGGCAUAUAAGAUAGAAUUGAAAUCCCCACCUAUCAGCCAAGGGCCUCGAAUUGAAGGCGCAAGGUUCUCCAUAUGGCUCCACAACUGUCUCCUUAGCAUUGGAUUUGGGCUGGCAUACACAGCCGUUACCCAAGACACAAAGGUCUUAUUCAUACAAAAUUUAAAGUGAAUGAACUGCCUAUGAUUAAUUAAGACUUCCACCUCUAUGGAAUUUCGCCAAAGAAGCCAAAUUCCUCCAGAAAAACCCACAGCUUCCACCCGGUGCGAAUACUCAAAUCCACUUUUCUUUAUAAAGUCAUCGGCUUUAGCACCACUAGUGCGAGGUUCCAUUAACACCACCAUCGAUGGAUUGUAGUUUUUAAUAAUUGUUUUAAACGAGCGCCUAAAUACCCCCGAGGCUGCCCCUUGUACAUUCCAGAACAUGAUACUAGCUGACAUAAUAAAAAUAACAGGAGAGAAACAAACGUCUACUGCUGCUGUCCAAGGACUUCCUCCAUCCACGCCAAUGGCGUUUCUUGAACCAUCUCAACUUCAUUCUCAACCAUCCCAUCGCCAUCAACACCAUUUAUAGGUACAACUGGAUGGUUAUGAGCACUGUCACCUUCAUUCACCCGAUGGAUGGUUUGAUCAUCUGGAGGGUCUGCUACUUGUUGUGGAUCCGGACCUUGCCUCUCUAUGUGUUCCGCGGUCACGUCCCUUUCAUCACCAUUAGGAAGGGUUUGGGAGGAGCAAACAAACACUGUGUGUUUAGAGGGGUCCAGGGUGGUUGCGAAUGGUGCCACGAGUUGAUUGCUAGAAGCUUUCUGAGGGAAAAUAUGGGGUUCAAAGCUUCGGUUUGCAUGAGGUAGGAUGGAUAUUUCCUUCUCUCUGGUGCUGAAGACACUAGGCUGGAGAGGGUUACAGGUAGGAGUUACUGGGACGUUUGGUUUCCUGCUCUGAUUCCUUGCUGCCACGGCCUUAUUUUGCGGCUUACGACGAGCCAUAGUCUUUGCUGAGGUAUCUGCUCUGGCUGUGAAAGUAUGGUUUGAUGCGGGCAUGAAAGGUUGCCGUGAGGUGGAAGGGAAGUCUGGGCAAGCCUCAUGCACAUGGUUUCCACCUUCAUCCGAGACUUUGGAUAAUAUGUGAAACCGUGAGGUACCAGCUCCAGUAAACUCCCUAUUACGGUUUGAGUCUCCAGUGUUCUCCUUACCAAUAUUCGGCUUCCUUCCUCUCCUAGUGGCAAUCAUCCAGGGUCCGAAUAGUUCCACAUUAUUAUCACCAUUACUACCUACAGCCUGCUGGCCAGGAGCCUCAUUUUCCGGCACUGCCUGUUGGGGUUGACCAGCAUCUUCAGGGCUUGUCGAACUCUUAGCAUCCUUACAGUUGCUGCUACUAUGCCCGUAAGAUUCCACACUUAUAACAAAUUACUGGCAAUCCCUCGUAUUCCACCUUCUGGAUCUUCCCAUCCAAUUCAAACUGAGAUACCAGCGGCCUUGUUAACGAGAUACUUACUGCAAGACGUGCAAAUCUUCCACGAGAUGAGGAGGCUGUAUUCGAAUCGAUUUUAAUCACGUUACCCACUAACUGACCCAGCUUCUGUAGAACUUUUCGAUUAUAAAGAUGAACCGCAAGGCCUGGUAAACAGAUCCAUACCGUGACUUGAUCAAGAUCCGCAUUUGUGAAAUCAAAAGAGGGUGUCCAUGGCUGCACAGUUAAAUAUUGACCCAUUAUAAGCCACGGUCCCUUAGUUAAAACAUCCAUAGCAUCCCCUACCGAUCUGAAACGAACCAGAUAAUAAUUGUUUUCCAAGUCAAUCACGGAAAAACCCAUGGCUGAUUUCCACAUGACAUUUAAUCUUGCACACAUAGCUCUAUAGCCAAUUGUGCGGCCAAGCAACUUCACAACCACCGAGUUCUUCCAAGGCUCACUUAACUUAGCAUGAACCCUAGCCGAAAAAGUGAUGGAUGGCAUGGGUCCCUCGUUAGUUUCAAUAAUGUCUCCUUCCUCAAAAUCCCAGUCCUCUAGUCCACCUCCAAUUCCUUGCUCCAUCGCUUGUGUUGCAUUCACUAGGGUUUCUUUGUACGAAAACUGUACAGUGGUAUCCCCAGCAUGUUCUUCAUCACGAAAUCUUGCUUUUUUAAUCGUUCUAGCCUCCCUAAACGGCGGGGGAAAAAUCCCUCCGGAGUUAGGGUUUCCUUCACGUCCGAGGUUUUCGGAGCCUUCCAUAUGGUGUUGAUCUUUUUAAGUCACUCGUUUCAAUAUUUCAUUUAUUUCCUUUUCAAGCUAACAAUUAAUGUAUAUGAAUGUGCGGAUGCAUUGACAUAUAUCUUAUUUUAUCAUUUUGAAUGAAUUGCACGGCGAGGCUUAUCAACUUUGGAUGAAUCCUCCAAUUGUCGCAGUCCAAGACUGGCUGCAGUGAGUGAAAAUUUACCCAUAUAUAUGCUGGCUAUUUUUAUUGGCGACGAAUUCGUUGUAGUUGGUCCAUCUUGCUAUUCUCGGACAAUAUUAGAGAAAAUAAUCAUAUUAUUUCGCGUGAUGUGACCUUCCAUAACGUAUCAAUUGAAUUACUGUAAAAUUAUUGUGUAAGUUUAGGCCCAAUGGCACUUUAGUUCAUCACAUGAUAGCCUGGAUUUAAAAGGAAAACUAUAUUGCAUUGCUUCAAAAAAAAAAUUUAAUGUUUUUAAUAUGAAUAUUUUUAACUAUAUUCAGUUAAAAUAAUAUAUUCUUAAUAUUAAUAUUCAUAGAUGAAAUUCUUUUGCGGAUUUAAGAAUAAAAUAUCAAAUAGUUUUAUUUUUCUUUUGUUGUGUAACUUGGACCGAAAAAGAAAAUGAGCUUAACAUGACCCUCCUUCCGGCACUAUGCAUGUUUUUCUUUUAUUUUUCUUGUAUUGAUGACAGUGCUCUUGGUGCUUCUCAUCUGCUUCUUGCUUUGGUUUCAAACAAGUCUUUCUCCGUCGAGACAUUUAUUGUAAUUUGAUUUGGAGACAUCUGUCGUUCAAAUAUAUUUCAUAUGCAAGCUGUUGAUAAUUCUGCUUGAGAAAGCCUUCAAAGCAGCUGUGUGAUGUAAUAGAAGACUAUAUAUGCAAGCGGGUACCGAGCUCGAAUUCUUUCUUGAGUUUCUUUGAAUUAUUUGUGAAUGAGUUCUUAAUCGGCUGCUGCUCUUCAGGAAAAGGAAAGUGUUGCAAACUGGUGAAGCUGAUCGAUAAAAGCAAUGUACCAUCUUUGCUGCCAUGGAUCGAUGCCAGUGAGUUUUUUAAUUUGUCAACCUUUUUAAUAAUGCAUAUGUGUUUCUUCAACUUGAAGCGGCAUUUAAGACGAAAGAAGUGAUCUUUAAAGCAUUCUAUAGCAUUAUCCUUUCCUAUUAUAUAUAUCCAAUUGCUCCAAAUUAUUUGUAAAUUACUGAACACGAAUGCUGAUGAAUAAACUGAUGGCUCUAUGUAUGUAUGCACAUGCAUGGAGAAAUUUUAAGUCAGACAUUCCCAUAUAUAACUCGUGCUACCAAAUCAUUAAAUAAUCUUGAAAUCAAAGUAAUAAUUAAAUACAAAUAAAUUGCUCGAAUUGUACAUAUAUCUGAAUCAUGUAGUGAAGAAAAUACAACAACAACAACCAAUGGCUCAAAUUCCCCAUCAACUUCUAAUCUCAACACUUUUGAGUGUCAGAAGCAUUACUCUGCUACCAGUUAACAAACAUAUAAUUAGUAAUUUGCCAUUCACUUCCCUUUUAGGCCUAACACAUUUUCUAUAAAGGAGCCACAGAGUGAACUCAGCAGGAAACACUCAAUUUCAACCUACGUAGGACCAGGAAUUUCAACCAAAAAAAAAGUGUGCAAUUGCUUAUCCUAUCCUAUUGCUACUAGAAAGAAAGUGAACAAUUAAUUUCAGUGAAUAAAUUAAAAAAAAUUACUUCUGCAGAUACUCAAGCUAAGAACACAUUAACCCAUUAAAGACUCCAAAUUGCAUCAAACAAAUUGUUGUUAAACAAGUAAAACAAAGAAAGAGAGUUAAGGAAGCUGACCUAGUAGUAGGGGAGCUGAAGAAAGACUGCCAGUGAAUGUAAGAGAAAAUAAAAUGCAAUAAAUGGUGAAGUGCAGCUUUUCAUGUCAACUUGAAAUUGUUUCUUCUGUUUUUUUUUUUUUUAAUCUUUUGGAUUUUUAAAACAAAGAAAAUGAGGAGCAACCAGGGAGAUAAAAAGGGCGCCAAGGCAACUGUGUGUUGGGUUUAGAGCCCAAAAAAAAAGGAGGAUAAGACAUCGUGUUCUUGUGGAGACCAGACCUAUUACGUAACGUCCCCUUCAAUACCACUUGUUCCGUAUCUGGUUUUUUCUUCGUCUUUUACAUAUUUAUCCUGUGAUUUUACAAUAACUAAAUAAUCCCCGCAUAGUUUGCAAUUUUAUUCAUUUGAGCCCUACAGAUUUCAGUAAUAGGUAGAGUUGGCAAAACGGGUCAUCGGGUCGUGUUCGUGUCAUGUCAAAUUUAAGUCGACCCAAACCCGACCCAUUUAAUAAUCGUGUCAAAAUAUUGAGACCUAAAUCCGACACGGAAAAAUAAUCGGGUUACCCAAUAACUCGUUUAAUAUCAAUAUAUUGAACAAAAGUUACAUCAAAUAUUUACACACUAUCAUACAUACAUACAUAAUUUAUCGAUAUUAUAAAAUAUAUAUAUCUACUAAUAUAUUACACAUUUACACUAUUGAGGUUUUAAUUAUAUAUAUAUAUAUAUAUAUACCUACGAUGAUUGUUUAAGCCGCGGUAAACGCUUCUAGAACGCCCUCUGGCAGGAAGGAAGGUACUCAAAGAAAGUGGAGAUGAGGGAAACUCCGCUGGAGUGAGGGGAUUUAUCGGAAUCUCGUUCAGAGUGAGGAGUCAAUGAGGGUUUGCUUGUACUUGUGGUUCUAUUGAUAGGUGUUUGCAAUGGGCUUUCGUCUCAGGUAGUUCAGUCUCCGGGGUUACGCUUAGUUUCAUAUAAAAUAAAUGAAGAAGACAGCUGGACUUCAGAGUGGGAUCCUCCUAUGUUGUCGGCUGUUUGUUUGUCCGCAGCUAUUACAGCUUGUGCUCGAAUAUAUAUGUAUCCAUAUAUUUCCAGAUAUUAUAUAUCAAUAUAUAUAUAUAUUAUUUAUCAAUAUUAUAAAAUCUACAUAUCUAUCAAUUUUUUCACAUUUACACUAUUGAAGCUCUAAAUGUAUUUAAAAUUUUAUAAAUAAAAUAUUAUGUUUAUAUUCACCCUUUUAAAGAAUAAAAAAGAAAAUCAUUACUAAUAUUUGAGUUUUAAUGAUAAGAAUAUGUAAAUUAUUUUAAAAUAGAAAAUAUAAUCGGGUCAUUGAUCGGGUAAAUGGGUCAAGAAUUUUAACUCUAACCCGACACGGAAAAAAAUCGUGUUGACCCGGACCCGACCCAUUUAAUAAUCGUGUUAAAUUUGACGACCCAUAUUCAUUUAUUUAUGUCGUGUUCGUGUCGAGUAAUCGGGUCGUGUCAAAUUUUGCCAGCUCUAGUAAUAGGAAUUAUUAAGGGACAAGAGCGCAAAACAAAAACUCUGUCCACUACUGAUGAUAUAACAACGAACCUUUGUUUUUUUCUUCUUUUUUUUUUACAAAAUAUCAUUAGAGAAAUGAAAAUAUUAACUAACAUCACCCUACUGAUGAUAUAACAACGAACCUUUGUAGUUUCUGCCUGUUAAUAUGAAUUGAUCAGGAGUGUUUCCUCACUUAAAAAUUACGAAUUUACAAAUAUGUAUGUAAGUAUGUAUGUAUGUACGUACGUACGUGAGUAUGUAUGUACAUAUAUGCAUACACCUAUGUAACAUUUACUUAUCCAUCCUUUUGAGUUUAAAACUUAAUACACAUUUUCAUGAAAUUUUUAUUUUAUUAAGUAUACAACUACAGUAAUGUAUAUAUUUUUUAUAUAAGACAUGCCGUCAUAUUAUUCAUAAGUAAAACAAUGUGUUGUAAAUAGUUUAAUUAUUAAAUAUCAUACAAUAUCUUUCAACAACCGGCAAUAGACCUUUACCCAUUUUUCUUUUUCGACCAUUAGAUUCAUUCAGUUUACAUCCAACGGCAGUUUAGGAUGGAGACAAAAAGUGUGGUACGUUACCACAGUGGUAACAUUGGAUUGGGAUUGUAUGUCGUGUUUAAUUUGAAUUGGUUGAUUCCUCUAAUGAAUUAUUUUGAUAAAUUUAGUAGCAGUAUUUGGCGGCAAAAGUAUCAUUAAUUUUUGGAAAUAUGAUUAUGUUAUUAAUUAUUUUAGCAUUCUAAAAAGUCAAUGGUUAUGUUGGAAAUACUCUAAGGUAGAAUAGAGUACAAAUCACAGUCACACAUACAAAAUGAUAAAUAAUAAAAAAUAUAUUAUAUUUUUGAUCAUAUGAUUAUGAAGACGUAUUUUACCUUAAAGAAGUUCUAAUAAGCGAAUUCUUCUAAAACAAUAUAAAAUUUCUUUUUUAUCAUACUCAACCGCUUCAAACUUCUAAGAAGUAGAUAUACAAUGAGUGGAAUACUGAAUUGAGUGCGAGCUGCGGAUAAUAUAUAAAAUUGGGAUACAAGCUUCAAGGAAAGUGUAUUGCUAUUCAAAUGUAGAUUUCAAAUUAAGAAGAUAUGCCAGCAAAUUGUAUAAAAAUGUAUAAAUUGAUCAGUAACAUUAAUUCCAAAUGAUGAAAUGAGUUAUCUUGAUCAAAAGGUCAAGAACCUACCUUACUUCUCUUAGAGAUAACUUGCAUCAACCGUUGUGGUAUUGAUACUUGUCUUCAGCUAGUAAAAGACUAAAAGUGAAAGUUUCACAAUUGAAAUAAAGCUAAGGGAAGAUGCUAUGCUCCAUUUAUUAUUAUUAUUAUUGAUGUGGUCGAGAAGUAAAGCCAUGCAUAUGAUGAAGUAUAAAUAAGAAUGCAAUAGCCCGGAAUUCAUUUACACAAACACUUCAAUAUCCUUUUGAUCACUUUUGCAAACAUCAGUUUGUCUCUUGUAUUCACCAUGGUUGAUGCCAUCGUUUCCUCUCUUGUGGAGCAGCUGACUUCCUUCGCUGCUAAAGAGAUAAUACAACAGGUGAUCGAAGUUACACCCCCCAUAUUAUAAAUACUUCUAAUGAUUUUAAUUGGUUUUGUUUUUAUCGGAAACAUUAACUUUGCUUUAUUUUAUUUAUUUAGGCAUUUUAAAUUUUAAAAUUUGAAUUGAAUUCAAUUAAAAUGUGAUGUAGCUAGUAACCACUUUUUUUAUUUCAUUUAUAUUCUCAAUAACUACCCAUAUUUUGGUAACUUACUGUAACCCCCGUAUCUAAGAAAUGAUUAAAACCCACAAUUUUAACUCCACAUAAAUAUUCCAUGUUGAGCUAAGUUUUUGCAUAACAUUCAAGUUUGUUAAAUAGUCAUUAAUUUAAUGUUUAGUAAAAACUUAUCUCUGAAAAUUUUCAUAAUUUUCUUACAUUCUUUGAGUUUGGUGAGUGACUUCAUAUAAUUUCUUUUCAAUUUAAAUUUUAAUUUGGUUUCUGAUAUAGUCUCUUUACUGAAUUUAUAUCUUUUAUGAUUCUUGGAUUUUGGGCUCCAACUUUUUAGGAUUUGAUAGUCACAUUUUAUGGCAUGCUUAGAUUGAUUUUCAUGAUUUGAGUACUCGUUAAGUGACUGAGAAUUUGACAAAAGUUUGAAAGGAAAUCCGUUUCACGAUUCUUAUGUGGAAGGUUCGUAAAAUCAUGAAAUUUGGAUAGGAUUCGCUAGCAAUAUGUACAAGACUCUUCAUGAAGUUUCAUAAUUUUUCGUUCGGUCUGGGGUGGUACAGGUGAAACUUGUGGUUGGUGUUAAAGAAGAAGUGAAAAGCCUUAUCAGCCACCUUCAAGCCAUUCAAGCUGUGCUCGAUGAUGCAGAGGAAAAGCAAGUGAAGGACAAAGCUGUUAGACAUUGGCUGGGCAGGCUCAAGUAUGCAUCCUACGACAUUGAAGAUGUGUUGGAUGAGUGGAUCACAGCUAGACACAAAUUGCAAAUUGAGGGUGGCGUUGAUGACAAUGCUCUUGCUGCUCCUCAAAAGAAAAAGAAGGUAUGUUUCUGCUUUCCUGCCUCUUGUUUUGGAUUCAAACAAGAAGAAUUUGGUUUCAGACAAGUCUUUCUACGUUAUGACAUUGCCAACAAGAUCAAAGAAAUGAAUAAAGAGCUACAUGAUAUUGCCACUCAAAAAGACAUGUUUAAUCUUGUUAAGAGUGGCAAUAAAAGUGGUGAAAGACCAAGGCGUGUACAGAGUACCUCCUUGAUUGAUGAGGAAGAGAUUUGUGGUAGAGUUGGUGAGAAGAAUGAACUCAUAAGCAAGCUGUUGCGUGAGAGUAGCGAGCAACAAAAAGGCCUCCAUAUGAUCUCAAUUGUUGGUAUGGGAGGCAUAGGGAAAACUACUCUUGCACAACUAGCUUGUAAUGAUGACGUGGUGAAGAGAAAGUUCGACAAAAUUCUGUGGGUGUGUGUAUCAGAAACUUUUGAGGAGUUUAGGGUUGCCAAAGCAAUCGUUGAAGCUUUGGAUGGUCGUGAAUCUCAUUUAGGUGAAUUCCAAUCUCUUCUUAAACAUAUUGAUGAAUCCAUUGCAGGGAAGAGCUUUCUUCUUGUCUUAGAUGACGUGUGGGAUGGAAAUUACUUGAAAUGGGAACCAUUCUAUCGUUGUCUAAAGAAUGGUCUCCAUGGAAGUAAAAUUUUAGUUACCACACGUAGUGGGUCCGUUGCAUCCACGAUGGGAUCCAUAGAUAUUAUUCCCAUUGAGAAAUUAGCUGAAGAGGAAUGUUGGUUGUUGUUUAACAAGAUAGCAUUUUUUGGUAGGCCUAUCGAGGAACGUGAAAAAUUCGAACGAAUUGGGCGAAGAAUUGCUGGCAAGUGCAAAGGUUUACCUCUUGCAACAAAGACAAUAGGUAGUCUCAUGCGUUCUAAACAAACUGAAGAAGAGUGGAAAAGAAUUUUAAAUAGUGAUUUAUGGAAAGUAGAAGAGAUUGAGAAAGAUGUUUUGUCCUCUUUAUUGUUGAGUUACAAUGAUUUGCCAUCUAGAGUAAAAAGAUGUUUUUCAUAUUGUGCUCUCUUUCCAAAAGACUACGAUAUAGAAAAAGACAAACUAAUCACAUUGUGGAUGGCUCAAGGUUAUCUUAGUGCAGAAGAAGAUGAGGAGAUGGAGACUAUAGGUGAAGAGUAUUUUAGCAUCUUAGCUUCUCGCUCUUUCUUUCAAGAGUUUAAGAAAAGUUAUGAUAAUCGGAUUAUAGAGUGUAAGAUGCAUGAUAUGGUACAUGAUUUUGCCCGAUUUGUAAGUCAAAAUGAAUGUUUUUCGAUGGCAAUUAAUGGUAGUGAAGAACCAAACGCCACAAACUCUGUUGAUGAGAAGGUCCGUCAUUUAAUGUUAAUCUUUAGUAUAGAGGCUUCAUUACCUGUUUCCACUCCUAGAGUUAAAAGAAUGCGUACCCUCUUAAUUAACGAUAGUAGAUCUGAUCAAUCAUUAUUAAAUGGUGAGAUCCUAGAAGAAUUGUUUAGGGAAUUGACAAGUUUAAGGGCAUUAGAUUUUGACAAAUUGUACCACUCAAUUUGGUCUUCGACUCUGGAGAUUCCGAGAAACAUAGAAAAGCUGGUACAUUUAAGAUACCUUAAUUUGUCUUCUCAGAAAAUAGUGGAGCUACCGGAGACAUUGUGCGAGUUAUAUAAUCUAGAAAAGUUAGAUAUUAGUUUUUGUUUUGAUCUUAGAGAAUUACCUGAAGGGAUUGGGAAGUUAAUAAACAUGAAGCAUUUACUAAAUUAUGAUACUGAUUCUUUAAGGUACAUGCCAGUAGGGAUUGGGAGAUUAACGGGUCUUAGGACCUUGGAUGAGUUCCACGUGAGUGCAGGAGGAGCUGUUGAUGGUAGGAAAGCAUGUAGGCUUGAAUCUCUUAAAAACUUGGAACACCUUCAAGUAUGUGGUAUACGUAGACUGGGUGAUGUAUCAGAUGUGGGCGAGGCUAAGCGAUUAGAACUUGACAAAAAGAAAUACCUCUUCAGUUUGACCCUUGAGUUUGAUAAGAAGGAGGAAGAAGAAGGAGAAAGAAGGAAGAACGAGGACGAUCAACUUCUUCUUGAAGCCCUGCGACCACCUCUGGAUUUAAAGGAAUUAGAGAUACGGUUCUACCGAGGCAACACUGUUUUCCCCAGCUGGAUGACGUCAUUAACCAACUUAAAGAGUUUAAAACUCUCUUUCUGCGAAAAUUGCGAGCAGCUGCCUCCUUUGGGAAAAUUGCCGUCCCUUGAACAGCUCUUCAUAUCGUACAUGUCGAGUGUGAAAAGAGUGGGUGAUGAAUUUUUGGGGAUAGAAAGUGAUCAUCAUGGCUCAUCUUCAUCUUCAUCGGUUAUUAUUGCCUUCCCCAAAUUGAAAUCACUUUCAAUUGAGUUUCUGUGCGAAUUGGAGGAGUGGGAUUAUGGGAUUACAAGAACGGGAAACACCGUCAUCAACAUCAUGCCACGUCUUUCUUCCUUGACAAUUGCUCUUUGCCCCAAAUUAAAGGCACUGCCCGACCACAUUCAUCAAACGACAACAUUGAAGGAAUUGCACAUUUGGGAUUGCAGGCUUCUGGAAGAACGUUAUUGCAAGGGGGAAGGAGAAGACUGGCCUAAGAUAUCACACAUUCCCAACCUCCAUAUUGGGCAUUGACAAGUAAUUUCUUCUCUUACUCUGAUUUGCUUUGUUGUUGUUUUUAAUCUAAUUAAGAAGCGUAAAUAGCAUUUUGAAUCAAACUCUAUAUCAGAAAUCUGCAAUACUUACUUUCUAAUAUUCUGAUUUUCAUAUCCUAUGAAUAUACGAUUUUUAAUUUGUGAGAUGGGUAACGUUACUGUAAAAGAUUAUUAAUGCAAUAUGAGUAAUUCUUUUGCAGGACAAGUGACCUACAUUUAGUUUGGCUUUGGAGUUGAAUAAUAACCUUUCGGGAACUGGUGUGGACUGGCAAAGGAUGAUGAGAUAGUUUUUUGAGUGAGUAAAUUUUGGGAGCUUGAGUGUAUUGGGAUUUGCAAUUACAAUCAUCGUCUGCCUCAGGUGAUUUCUUCUCCUGCUCUGUCAUUGUUUGUUCUCUAAUUCAAAAGCAUAAAAUAUUUCAAUCAAUUUUUAUGCCAGGAAUAUGCAAAAGUUUCUAAUAUUUUAUUUCCAUCUGUCACAAGAUCAAACUGAAGCAGAACUCAAACAAAAGUAUGCUACUUCUUGCGGAAAUCUUGCCUUCGUUCAAAUUAUGAAACCAUUUCCAUGCAGCAAAUUCAUCCAAAAGUUUGAAUAAGUUUCAUGGUUGGACACUGUUGGCUUCUUUUUCUUCUGGGGUGCAUUUAGGUGCUAUCAAGUGACAGCUGUAAGUAUGAUUGCACUAAGCUGCUGCUGGGAAAUUUGAGGUUUUGAUGGCUGCCCAUGUUAUUUUCAAGAAACUAUUGAUGUAAGAAGCCGUGGUUCUUUUCAUCAGCUUGAACCUGAAACUGUCGCUAUGGAUAACUCAGGUUUUUGUUAUCAACUAUAUCAUCUUUUUCACUAUUUUGAAACUCUUAAGAUUAAACGUUAGUAAAGUUGUUUCAGCUAUUCAAAUGAAAAACUCAUUGAUUUGAGACUUCCUUCAUUAUUGUUUCUAAUUACAAUGCUAACGAUCCAGAUAAAAUAAUAUUUAAUCGGCGAAGGUGUCCCUUGGAAGUACAUCCUUCUUUUUCUUUUAUUAUAUAAAUUCUUGCAAUGAGCUUAGUCAAGAUGUUGUGCUAAUCAUGCCACUGCAUAUAAAUUCUCCAGAAGUUAAAAUCAAUAAAUUUUCUAUUAGCUCUAGUGCUUUGACCUAAAUGCUAUUCUAUAUUCUGAUUACAAUGUUUUAACCUUUAAAUUAACUACCCCUAGGUGUUGGAUUUUCUAGAACUUCAAAAUGAUUAAUGGAGAAAGAUCCCAUUAUCGUUAUUGCUAUAAGAAAUUGAUUUAUGCAUCCAAAGAUACAUUAUAUAUUUCUGUGUCUCUAUUUAUAGAUGACAUUUAAGCAUCCAUAAACCGUCAGACAGAGGAAGGGGGUUCAGUGCAAAGAUUCUGUUGACCUAGGGUUGACUGCAUAAUGUCACUUGUUCGCAAUCUAUUAUUUAUUUUAUAUUUUGAAGAAUUUAAUGGGUAAUCCUAAUUGUUUGUUUUGGCAGGUAUGUGUUGUUUUCUCCUUCUAUCUAACAGUCGUACCUAAAUAGCAUAGUUUCAUCUGUGUUACCAUGUGAUGUACAUAAUUUCACAUUUGCCUCAGAUUAAGCUUAAUUUCCCACAGAAUAGAGCUGUCGCGACUGGACUUAGGUUGAUGUCCAAAGAGGUAAAUUAUUGGCAUGCCUAGAUAAUUUGGCCAUUUCCUAAUUCAUAAGUCUACAUUAAUUUUGAUUUUGAGUUGACUGAUUUCUUUUCAAGGUCUGCUUCCUUAACGGAGUGACCAAUGUUUUUCAACUAAAUUUAUCAUAUGAUGCAGGAAGCAGGGCAGGAUAUGAAAUGAGAAGCUCAUUGGUGGAAGUAUUGCCAGUAACAGAACCCAAAGAAAAUGAAACUAUUUCAAGGCAGCAGUUGGCAGUUGCAAGUGAAUGGAGGCCCUGACAAAAUUCUCAAGCGGUUGCAAUGCAAUUACGAUCAUCCUCAGCCUCAGGUAAUUUCUUCUCCUGCUCUGUUUUUAUUUGUUAUCUAAUUAAAAAGCAUAAAGUAUCUUGAAUCACUUUCUCUAUCUGGAAUAUAUGCAGCAGUUUCUAAAAUCUUCAUAUGAGUGUAAUGAUGGUAAUUUCUGUUUUUUGUCUGUCAUUGAAUGUUAGACAACUUUCAGUGAGACUCUUGAACCGAGACAUUUUUGACAACUGAAGGACAAUUGCUGAAGAGUCGGAAUGGUGCUAGAUUGGGGAAUAAAGACAAAGGAGGUAAAUUAUUUGCAGUUUAUUCAGCAUUAUUUGCUUUGGACCAGCGCCUGAUUCACAAGUCUCCAUAAUUUGGCUUUUGACCAGUUAAUAAAUUUUUAAUUCCAUUGGUGCUAAAUGUACACGUGAAGCAGGCAGAGCAGGACUGUGGAAAUGAGAAGGUUUUUAGUGAAAGCUUAAACUCAGGUAAUUCUAAAAAGUACAUGUUUUUGCUGAUUUAUCUAAAUCAGGAAAUUUUAUUUCCAUCUGUUACAAGAUAAAACAGAAACAGAACACAAAGAAAAAUAUUCUACUUCUUGUGGCAAUCUUGCCUUCAUUCAGACAAUGAAACCAUUUCCUUUCACCAAUUUCUUCCAAAAGUUUGAAUAAGUUUCAUGGGUGGACCUAGUUAGCUUCUUUUUCUUUUGGUGCAUUUAGGUCCUAUCAAGUGACAGCCAUAAGUAUGAUUGCAUUAUUGGGAAAUUUUAGGUUUGGAUGGCUCCCCAUGUUAUUGCCAAGAAAGUCCUCAUGUCAGAAGCUGCGGUUCUUUUCAUCAGCCUGAACCCGAACCUGUCGUUAUGGAUAACUCAGGUUUUUGUCAUCAACUAUAUCAUCUUUUUUACUGUUUUGAAACUCUUAAGAUUAAACUUCAGUAAAGUUGUUUCAGUUAUCCAUGUAAUCAGGCUAAGGAUAUUUAGCAGCUUAUUUAGGCAACUGCCAGAAUUCAGUUUGUUAGCUCGAAACUUGUAUGGUGACAAGGAUACUGGCAAGGAUAGUGAGAUAGUUUUUUGUGUGAGUGAAAUUUGAAAGCUUGGGUGUUCUGGGAUUUGCAAUUGCAAUCAUCCUCUGAGUCAGGUGAUUUCUUCACCUGCUCUGUCUUGAUUUUCUCUCUAAUUGAAAGCAUAAAGUAUUUCAAUCAAAUUCUGUACCAGGAAUACGUAAAAGUUACUAAUAUUUUAUUUCCAUCUGUUUGCAUUGAUAACUCGGCGGCAUAUGUUCUAGUUAAAGAACAAACAGAAACAGAGUUCAGGAAAAAGUUUCUUCGGCCACCAUAUUUGAAAAUGAAACCAUUUCCAGGAAGCAGUUGGCAGCAAAUUCAUAUGGAGUGUAGACAAUGAUGAGCAAAAAGGUGAUUCGCAAUUUCUUUUUUUUUUUAAGUGAAAUUAUUUGUUAGAUUGAAGCUGAUAUUGUAAGAAGGCCAUUGAGCUAACCUAUGUCGCCACUUGCCUAGAUUGCAGGGGGUCAAGACUCAAAAGAAGCACUGAAAUUUAAAAAGCAUGCAAUAGUUCUUUUGCCAUGUGUCAAUUAAUGCAAGUUUGAAUAAGUUUAUUGGCUGAACGAUGUUAGCUUCUUUUCCUUUCGUGCACUUUGGUAUGCUAUCAAGUGACAGCCGUAUGUAUGGCUUGCAUAUAGCUGCUGCUGGGAAAAUUGACGAUUUCAUGGCUGGCCGUGUUAUUGUCUUAAAUUAGUUGUGAUAAGCUGUUGCUUGGAGAUUCUGUUGCCAAGAAUUUGCUCACAUCAGAAGCUGUGGAAUCUGAACCCUUCGAUUCUGUUGCCAAGAAUUUGCUCACAUCAGAAGCUGUGGAAUCUGAACCCUUCGUUAUGUAUCAUCUUUUUCAUUGUUUUAAAACAGUAAACUCUCAGGACACUGAGCAGGCAAAUGUUAUAACUCGGUUUGUUAGCCAAAAACUUGUUGAAGAUUCUUGACAAAGCUGCGUCGAGUGAAUUGUCGGAGCUCUGAGGGUGAGAGAAAUUAGAGGGUGUAUAGGGAUUUGGAUUUGUUAGGAAGUUAUCAUUUUUAUUUGUCCGAUUCAAAACUUGAUAUUCCAAUUAUAUUCAUAAGCUUCUACAGUUAUCUUCAAAAAGACAUUCCAAUUAUAUUCAUAAGCUUCUACAGUUAUCUUCAAAAAGACAAAUGGAAGGCUUUGAACGGCUUGGGUCUGAGUAUUGUAGUUUGAUUUAUUUUGAUGAAAGAACCUUUUGACAUUAAGAUUCUUUCAUGAGUUAAACAUUCUUUUUAAAACCAACUUAUUAAAAAAAAAGUAACGAACAUAUAUUAUUUUGUUAGUGCUUUUUAAAUCAAAUAUAAAAAAGAGAACUGUAAUUCUUAGCAACCAAUUUUUCAUUGAGUACACCUACAACAAAUUAUUAAAAAAUAAAGCGAUAGAAAAUGCCUGAUUUUUCGUACUUUCUAAUUACUUUUGGUCCUAAAAUAUGGCGAUUUGUGUAAUAAUAAGCCCAUGUAUAUCUUUAUGCCAUUAGUUUGAUAAAUAACUAUCAAGGAUAACUUAUUAAGCUAAAAAUAUUUGAAGGAUAAAAUGGGAAAACUAAAAGGGUGGAGUAAUAAAGUUAUUUAAGAUUACAUAGUAAGUUAACUAUAUUCGAGGGAUAAAAUAUUAAAACUUGAAUAGUUAUAUUAAAAAUAUCUCGGCUAUUAUACUAUUAAACCAUAUGCCGUAAUAAUGUUUUUUUUCAAACUUUAAAAAAUUCAGGAUUUUAAAUUAAAACAUGGAUUUCUUUAAGAUGCUAUAUGUGUUUUUACAGUAUUGAUAGUGGGAUUAGUGUGUACCCUUAUAUGAAAGAGUUUUAAUCUGAAUCAUUCAUUUAAUAUAAUAGAUAAUUAAAUAAUUAAUUAAAAUAUAGCAGGUAACUUAUAGGUUGCAGGUAAAAAAUUAAUUUUUUAAUUUUAAAUUAAAAUUAAUUUGGAACAAAACCAUCCACACCCCUAAGGUUUACUUAAAUGAUCAUAUAAAUCCCUUUAGUUUCUACAUAGUUAUACAGACCCUCUUAAUUUCAUAAAUUAUUAUUAUACUUUUAAUUAAAACAACCUAAAUGAAUAUAAAUAUAGUAAUAGGAUAGAAAUAAUAAAUAAAUAUCAGAUGAAACAAAUAAAAUAUUACAAUAAAUACAAUUAAUUAAAUAACAUGUAUGAUGAAAAUUUUAUUCAUAUUAAGUUAUUAUUAGUCUAUCCCGAUGGAUUUACUCAAAUCAAUUAAUCCAAAAUUUAAUUUUAAGAUUGAUAUUAAUAUGGACAUAAUUAAAUAAGAUGUUGUAAUAUAUACUACUUUGAAUGUUAAGUAUAAUUAUCUAAUAUUAUUAGUAUGUGAAAUAGAUUUUAAUAUUAUUAAAGAAUAUGACAAUAUAUAAUUUUGAAUUAAAUUUUUUAGUAUUCAUGAUAUUUUAUAAAUUUUAUGUGAUUUUAUAUAUUAUAUUUUUUAAUUUUAAUGUAUUAUAUAUGAUCAUUUAAGCAAAUUUUGGAGGUGCGGUGGUCUUUUCCCUAUUAAUUUUGUAGCAUAUUUAAAGUGUUAUAUCAUACAUGAUACAUCACACUUUUGUUAAAGUGUUAUGUUAUUAAAAAUUAAACUUUGCAUUUAUAAUAUACUACCAUUUUAAUGUAAAGGUAAUAGAAAAUAUGAAGAUAUUUUUAAGUAGUCAAUUGUAGCUUUCUUUUACAAAAUAGCAGUAUAGAAAUACAAUUGGUAAAAUGUAAUAAAAAUGGUAUGGAAAAAAGUUAGUAGAGGCAAUUAUUCUUGUAGUUGCUAAAACAUAUGAAGUGACACACACACACACACACAUAUCAAGUACUUGUAUGUUCCCCUAACUUUUAUUAAUGGGAAGGAAAUUAAAUUCGUAAUUUUCCCGGUGAAUUAUGAAUUGAUAAAUGAAAUAUAAAUAUUAGUAAAAAUUAAUUUGUCGACUAAAGAAGUAAACCAUAUUUUAUGGGCAUUUAAUACAUUAAUUUAAGGUCAAAUGAGAUAAUAUCACAUGAUAUUUGAUACAAGAGUCCAAUUUUCAACAUUUGCAUAUAGUUUCUAAGCUAGUAAUCUAAUAAAAUAUACCAAAUGAGAAAUUGAAGGCUAUUAUUUAUAUUUCACCAUUGGACAAACACCAUACAUUAGAAUAAAAAAAUCUCACAGUAGAGACGGCAUCUGUUUGCAUGUUUUGAAAAUAGAUUUUGAAAUUAGUUUAAUUACAUGAUAAUUAAAUUAUAUUAUAAAAUUAAGAAUAUGAUUUAAGUACUAUUUUAGCAAUUUUGAGUCUCACAUUGAGUAUUCAAGUUAAUUAAAUGUUGAAACUCUUUUCUAUUUGGCUUGAAAUCACUACUAAAUAAAAUUACAAAAAGUCAAUAAUGAAUGAUGUAGGACACAUAUGUAAAAUAAAUUUUAAAGUGUAAUUAAACAUUCCUAUCAAUAUUAGUUUUGCAUACAUAUUCAUAUAUUUUACCGAAACCAUAUAUAAUUAAAUUUUGUGUAAUUAAGUAAAAUAUAUUAUUCAAGUGAAUUUAUGAGAAUAUUUAAAAUUGUAGGGGUCGUCACUGAAAUUUGCCAAACUUGAGCCAACCGUGCAUGAUCCAAACAGUUUAUUUUAAUAAUUCUCAAUAUGUUAGUCUGUUUGACUGUUGGCAAAAUAAAUUCCUAUCAGCAAUGCAACACAAUUCAAAAUCAUAUCUGCAUACAACGAACAAUAUCUCAUGAAAGAUCAAAUUAUACAUUUUUUACACCAAACCAUAAAUAUCUAAAUUGUCCCUCUUCAACUCACCAAGCUCAUACCUAACAACAGCAAGAUUAAAUGUCAUUUGAUCCAUCUUUUUUAUUAAGCUUUAUCAAUUCUUCUCAUGGUUGCAAUUUUGAAAGCUCGCUUCGCUAUUUCCAUUUGCUUUUAUGCUUUGUUUGAGCUCCAUCUUUUCUCUCCAUCUACAUUUUACACUGUAAAAAAAAUUUUAAAAAAAUUACAAAGCUUCUUAUGCUAGAAUAUGAGCAACAAUAUAAAUAAUAAACAAUAAAGUUAUGAUAGCACAGCAUGCUCAUUAAAGUGCUUCUUUUUUUUUUUUUUCAACAAGAAAUUACUACUGAAUUAAAGAUUUGGCUUUGCAUUAAGGUUUGCCUUCAAUAACUCAACUCCCCACUUGGGUUUUGUCGUUUUCUUAAAAUCUCUGCUCAAUCAAUUUAAAGAUCCUUUUUUUUUUCUUUCCAAAGAUCUAAAAGCAAUGUCUUUUAUUGGUACCCAACAAAAAUGCAAGGUCUGUGAGAAGACAGUUUGUCCAGUUGAGCAGUUAUCUACUGAUGGGGUUGUUUAUCACAAGUCUUGCUUCAAGUGCUCUCACUGCACUGCAAAGGCACACUCAAGCUAAGCAAUUACUCAUCCCUGGAAGGUGUUCUUUACUGUAAGCCUCACUUUGAGCAGCUUUUGAAGGAGUCGAGUAACUUCAACAAGAAUUUCCAAUUACCUGCAAAGUCAGCUGAGAAGUUAACUCCUGAGCUGAAAAGGUCGCCUAGCAAAGUUGACAGCAUGUUCUCUGGGCCCAAUAAAAAUGUGCUUCUUGCAGUAAAACAGUGUGUCCGUGGGAGAAGGUAGCAGCGGAAAACCAAGCCUCUCACAAGACAUGUUUCAAGUGCUCACAUGGUGGUAAUUCCAUUAGCCCGUCAAAUUACGCAGCCCUAGAAGGCAUCUUGUAUUGCAAACAUAAUUUCUCCCAAUUGUUCAAGGAAAAAGGCAGCUACAACCACCUUCUAUCAAAUCUGCUUCCAUGAAGCGUGCUGCAGUCUCUGUUCAAGAAGCUUGAACAUGUUAUGUUAUCUUCCAUAAAUCUUAUUUGGCGUGGGUUUUCUCUGGCUUGAGGGUGUGCUUUCUAUUUUGAUCCCUCUUGUUGUUUUUGCGGGGAACUACCAAACCUUCGGUUCCCUCUGCUUCUUUGGAUCAUCUUUGUUGGGACAAAUUUCAUGUAAUUAGAGAUACUGAUUUAUGGGAGGCAUAAUCCCAUGGUUGUAAAUUGACCAUUUUCUGGCAAUGUUCUUUUUAAAAAGAGAUGAGCAGUUGUUUAACAAAAAAAAUAGCUGGCCUUCAUCAUGGUAUGUUACCAAACUGCUAUGUAUAGCUGCUAACUAUGAGCAUCCGAAAAUAUGGUGCAUCGUGAUUCAUGUCGUGCAAUAUGGCUACCAACGCAUCCUAAAUGGAGUAUUACUCAGUUAGUCAGCAAAAUAAGACAACAGUAAGAUAUUAAAAAAAUAAAAACUACAUUAAUAAGUGGGCAAGAUCAUGCCAGUUUAACUUUUCGCGCGUCGCUGCUGGAGAUAAUCAAAUCGGGGCAGAGAAAAGGAGAAUGGAAUCAGAGGCUAAGAUUAAUAAGUGGGCUUCUGCUUGCUUUGCCCCUCUUUCUUAAACGAUUGGUAGACUGCUGCUUCCACCGAUUAACCGGGUCUUCAACCACUGCUUUUAUUGCCUGCCAUCUUGUUGUUUGUCGAAGGGAUGAAUUCGAGUCGAAAAGAGAAAGCGCGCUGAAAAAGACAAAUCACUAGUGGUUAACUACUGACUCAGCCAAGUGUUGGCUUCACUUGAUUCACCGAUUGAGGUUAUUUUGUCUUCUAUCUAAUGCAGCGAAGAAGCUUUACUGCUUAACAUGCUGCAAUGCAACUUUAUCUUUUGAAGUUCACACUUCAGGGCUGCGCACUUUAUGUAAUCCUAUGAGUAAAAAGAAUUUAUUUUCAAAUGUGAAAAAAGAAAAUGUAAGGUAGUAACUAAAUAUAUUAUAGCAUCAAAGUAAGAUUUGAUAUGAAUUUAGUACAACAAAGAACAUUAAAUCUGUGAUUCCUUGUCUAAUGUCACCAUCGAGCAACAAAUUUAAAAGCCUACCUAUCAAAUACACGAGGCAAUAAACGGAGAAAAAGUUGAAUUACAAGAACAAGUUUACAAUUCUUGUCAAUGGUUAAUGAUUCGUGAAUUGAGAUAGCAUUCAAGAAUCCAAUUUCAAUACAACAACGUAAAAGAUAAACAGAUGAUGAAUUUUAUGAGAUAAAGAAGGAGAUUGUGUUUUAUCGUAUCUCUAUUUUCUUUCCAUUUAAAUUUAAAAUAAGCUUUUCAACCGGUUAUAAUAUUUUUUGAAAUAAUUAAAUAUUUUUAUUAUUAAAAAUAAUGUGUACCGUUGAUUACAUCUAACGCUACAUAUUUCUUACACUAUUAAUACCGUAAAAAAAAUCAUAGAGGGACCCUUAAAACAUUUUCAUUUGAAAUUAUUUGGUGAAGUGAAAAAGUUAAGAAAGAAAUAGUUGUCCCUUUGGUCAUUUCACAAAAAUGAAAGCCCCAUAUAACAUGGACUUGAAUGGAAGCCCAAUUGUUGUGUUUGAUUUCAAGCUUUAUCGGACCUUUGGACCUGGAUACUUUACUGCGGCCUCUAAGCGCUACAAAUUUUUUUUUUGGGAUAAAAGGCGCUUCAAUGAAAAAGCACUUUAAAACUUUGGAUUUUGCCAAAACUUCAAAGCGGUUGGUCCAGUUACGGUGUUAUGCUAACGGGUUUAAAGGUUCCGAUCCAAUGAGUUAGGGUGGAAUAUGAAUAUAUAAAUCCUAGUCAUGUAAGGACUAGGAUUUGUUUGUUCAUAUCAAGAAAAAAAAUCUGAAAAUUUGAUGAUCAGAAGAUAAAAACACUUAAACACGUUUAUUACAGAGAAACAAACGACAACAUGAUGCUAGUAGUAAUUUUAUUUUUCUUUUAUUGUGUAACGUGGACCAAAAAAAAGGAAAUGAAUUUAAUAAAACCGUCAUUCCGCAAUAAUAAUGUACCAGCCUGGUUUUUAUAAUCCAUACCAUCCUGAUAUAAUUAAACACCAUUAAUAAUGUACCAGCCUUUAAAUAGUAAUUAAUUUAUUUAUCUAAUUCACCAAAUGUCAUUUCCGGUACAUAUCUCCUGGUAUCAAGAAGAGGCAGAACCCAAAGAAACGUUUCUUGUAUCUUCAUAUUUGUGCGAAUUCAUCCUUUCAUUGAGAAUAACCAUUUCCAGGCGGCAGUUGGCAAUCAAUUCAUGCGCAAGUCGAUGCUAUUCAUAGAUAUUAAAGACAAUGAUGAACCAAAGGUGAUAAAUCAUAAAUGCAUAAUUACCAAACCUCCAUCCUUCUCUCAUUAUGAUUUGAUUUUAAAUGAAUUAUUGCUUGGUAACAUUAUUUCCAACCAUUGCAAGAUUAUUAUUAUUUUUUUUUGGGGAGAAAUUUCAAUUGAAAGUGAAACCUUUAGACAUUUACCUAAUGAAGUUAGUUAAUGGGGAGGGUUGGAAAAAUUCCCAAGCCGUUGCACAGCAAUUACGAUCAUCCUCGGCCUCAGGUAAUUUCUUCUCCUGCAUUUUUGUUAUUUGCUAUCAAGUGACAUUCGUAAGUAUGAUUGUAUUAAGCUGCUGCUGGGAAAUAUAAGGUUUUGAUGGCUGCCCAUGCUAUUGUCAGAAGCUGCGGUUCUUUUCAUCAGCCUGAACCUGGACCUGUCGCCAUGGAUAACUGAGGUUUUUUUUUUUUUAAAUCAACUACGUCAUCUUUUCCACUGUUUUGAAACUCUUAAGAUUAAACUUUAGUAAAGUUGUUUUAGUUAUCCAUGUAAUCAGGCUGAGGAUACUUAGCUGCCUAUUUAGGCAAAUGUCAGACUUUAGUUUGUUCGCUGGGAACUGGUGUGGUGACAGCGUCCUGGCAAAGGAUGAUGAGAUAGUUUUUUGAUUGAGUAAAUUUUGGGGGCUUGAGUAUAUUGGGAUUUGCAAUUACAAUUAUCCUCUGCCUCAGGUGAUUUCUUCUCCUGCCCUGUCGUUGUUUGUUCUCUAAUUCAAAAUUAUAAAAUAUUUCAUCAAAUUUUAUGCCGGGAAUAUGCAAAAGUUUCUAAUAUUUUAUUUCCAUCUGUUUGUCUUGAUAACUUUGCAGCAUAUGUACUAGUUAAAGAACAAAUCGAAACAGAGUUCAGUUAAAAGUUUCUUCUGCCGUCAUAUUUGAAAAAUGAACCCAUUUCCAGGAAGCAAUGGGCAGCAAAUUCAUAUAAAGCGUAGACAAUGAUGAGCAAACAGGUGAUUCACAUUAAUGAAAUUAAUUGUUUGGUUGGAGCGGACAUUGUUAGAAGGCUAUUGAGCUAACCUAUGUCACUACUUGCCUAGAUUACAGGGGGUCAAAACUCAAAAGCGGCAUUGAAUUUUAAAAGGCAUCCAAUAAUUCUUGUGGCCAUAUAUCAAUUCAUGUAUGUUUGAAUGUAAUUAUUGGUGAAGGGGUUUCACUUCCCGUCUCUAAAUAAAAAUACUGAUUCUUUAAGGUACCUGCCACUAGGGAUUGCGAGAUUAAUGAGUCUUUGGACAUUGGAAGAGCUCCUUGUGAGUGGAGGAGGAGGUGUUGAUGGUAGCAAAGCAUGUGGGCAGUGGGCUUGAAUCUCUAAAAAACUUGGAACUCCUCCAAGCGUAAGUAUACGUAUACUGGGAAAUUUGUUAGAUGUGGAUGAGGCUAAGAGAUUAGAGCUUGACAAAAUGAAAUACCUCUUUCAUUGAGACUUAAAUUUGAUGGGGAAGAAGAAAAAGAAGAGGGAAGGAGGAAGAAUGAGGAUAAUCAACUUGUUCUUGAAGCCUUGCAACCACCUCUGAAUUUGAAGGAAUUAGAGAUUUGGUCAUACAGAGGCAACAUUGUUUCCCCCCGGAUGAUGCAAAAAUUGAAGGAAUUUACCAAUCUAAGGAGUUUGACACUCUUUAAAACUGCAAAAAUUGAGAGCAGUUGCCUCCUUUGGGAAAAUUGUGAUCCUUUGAAAAUCUCAGCAUAUUGUACAUGGAGAGUGUGAAAACAGUGGGUAAUGAAUUUCUGGGAAUAGAAAGUCAUCUUCAUGACUCAUCUCCAUCUUUAUCAGUUAUUAUUGCCUUCCCCAAAUUGAAAUCACUUUCAGUUGAGGGAUUGAUGGAAUUGGAGGAGUGGGAUUAUGGGAUUAAAAGAACAGGAAACACCUUCACCAACAUUAUGCCACGUCUUUCUUCCUUGGAAAUUAGUGUGGGGUUAUGGGAUCGCACAACCACGUUGAAGGUAUUGCAGAUUGUGGCAUGUGGUACUCUAAGAAGACGUUGCAGACAGGGGAGAGCAGAAGACUGGCCUAAGUUCUCUCACAUUCUAGACAUCAUGAUUGUGUGAAAAGAGGCCCUUGACAAAAUUCUCUAGGCGGCUACAUGGAGUACAAUCAUAAAAUGCUAAUGUGGCCACCCUGGUUCUUAAUUAAGGUUGUGAAAUAUUAUUGUAAAAGAUGAUUAAUUCAAUUUGAGUCAUUCGUUUGCUUUGAUAAUGAUAGUAAUUUUAUAUUUUGACAAUUUGCAAGGUGAGAAUGGUGCUGAUUGGUGAUACAGGAUACGGUUCAAACACCAUUGAAUAAAGCUACGGACAUGGUGGCUCAACUUAGCUAUUGCUGUCAAAAUUGGUAAGUUGGCUUGUCAAUGUAUUGAUGCUUUUGUUUUCUCUCAACCCUAAUUACCUUACCUUCAUUUAGUUUGGCUUUGGAGUUGAGUAAUAACUUUCAAGGUUCUCAAACAGAGCAGGACAACCGAAAAAAAAAGCUUAAUUUGCUACUGAUCACGUGUUACCAAUUAUUAAGGUAAUUCUCGUUUACUUGCUUCUACACUAUAGAGUACGUGUUCUGGCUGGUUUAUCUAAUUCAUCAAAUGUUAUUUCCUUAUUGUUCCAUUGAUAUAUUUGUUAGAAAGUGAAACCAUUUCCAGGCAGCAGUUGGCAGUGAAUUCAUGCAAAUGUUGAUGCCAUUCAUAGAUAUUGAAGACAAUGAUGAGCCAAAGGUGAUAAAUCAUUAAUGCAUAGUUACCAAAACCUCCAUCCUUCUCUCAUUGUAAUUUGAUUUGAAAUGAAUAAUUUCUAGGUAAUUGAAGCCAAUAUUGUUAGAAACGGUGUUGAGCUACCCAAGCUAAGAAGUUGGCUGCCAAAAAAUGCAGGGGAUCAAAAGAAGCAUUGCAUUUGAAAAGGAAUGAGAUUCUGGUUGCUACAUGUCAAUUCGUAGAAGUUUCAAUAAAUUUAAUGGUUCAAGAUUUUAGUUUCUGUUUAAAUUUGUGCUACUGCAGUGCUGCAGUGCUGCUACUGGGAAAUUUAAAUCCCAUAUUAGACUUUCCUCACAUAAGAAGCUGUGGAUCUUCGGACAUCAGGUUUUUUCACAGUUCUGAAACUCUCAGGAUUAAACUCUAUUAAAGUUGUUGUAGUUGUCUACGUUCUCAGGUCAAGGAUUCUAAGCUGCCGAUUAAGGCAAAAUGUCAGAAUUCCCCUAUUAUUUUUUUUUUCAUGUAAAAUUAUGUUGUUGUCUUCGCCCAUGAAUCUUAGCUAAAUUCUGAACCAAUUGUUUGCUAUUAUAAAUUUCAUUGUUAAAUAUUAAUUGUGAUGUUGGUGUUGAGUUUCUUUUAAAGUCAGAGAAGCCUGACGAUUGAGUUCCAUGGGAUUCUGAGAAGCAGUAAUAUUUUGAACAAGUGAAGGUUCUUCGUUUUUACAGUAUGUGCAGAUGUCUAAGAGGCAGGAUUUUUAUUUCUGUAAUGCUAAAUUUCGCAAAACAAUAAAAAUAAAUAAAUGCAUGACAGUGACUUCAAGAAUUUAGAUUAUUGAAUUUGGUCAUUUUAAAAUUGUUGGAAUGUUGAACUUAAGUAAUUUUUAUAAACCAGAGCUCAGAAAUGUAGAAUAUAAAUAUUGGAGAUUUGGACUUCAAUCAUUAGACUUGAAGCUAAAGAGGUAAGCCAUUAAUUAUAUCAAAGGAUUUGGAAAAUGGAGGGAUUGGAAAAAGGAAACAUUUUCAUAAACUUCAAGAGGAACGUCACAGAAAGGGGUAAAGAGAAGAGUAGCCUAAGAUAUUAAAGACAAUGUUGAGCCAAAGGAAACAUAAAUCCCAACCAUUGCAUGUGAACAUGAUCACAAUAAGGUCAAAAACCAUUUUUUUGAGAAUUUUCAAUUGAAAGUGAAACCUUUUGACAUUUACCUAGUAAAGUUAGUUAAACGAGAGAAAUAAAGGGGAAAAGAAAAGUUGACUCAAGUCAAUACAGAAUAAUUAGUUCAAUCUGGAGUAACUAAAACAGAGCCACUAUAUUUUCAAAAAUAUCUGCAUUCAUCACCUUCUCCUCCAGCUAGUGAGCUACACACGAAUCCUUUCCUUUUAGCAUUUUUGCAGCAUCAAUUUCUCCCCUCGUUUGUCAUCAAUUUCUCCCUUCGUUUCACCAAUACCAUGGCUGAUGCAAUCGUUUCCCCUCUCUUGGAGCAGCUGAUUAUCUUUGCUGCUGAAGAGUUGAAACAACAGGGGAAGCUGGUGAGUGUUGGAUGAGUGGAUCACAGCAUGCGCCAAAUCGCAAAAUAGAUCAAUGCUCUUGGUGCUCCUUAUCUGAAGAAGAAGGUGCAAAUUGGGAGCUGCAUUUCACUGUCAUAACAUUUAUUGUAAUUUCAUUUGGAGAUAUGUAAUAUCUGUUGUCCAGAUACAUAUCAUACACCAGUUGCUAUGUAAUUUCGUUUAGGUUCAUUUUUGUUUCUUAAGAGUUUGUAAAAAGAAUGGAAAGAUUUUAAAAUAUAAAUUUCAUAUCUGUUUAUUACUGUUGUUUGGUCUAAUUUCUUAUGUAGAAUUUUCAGAAUCUGUAGGACAUUAGUUUAUAAUUUUGAGAUUUUGCAGCCAUAAAAAAAAUUUUUUUUUUUUGCCAUUUUAUUUUGCUCCUUUAUCUAUGUGCAUGUUGACUGGCUGCAGUGAGUGAAAAUUUACCUAUAUAUGCUGGCUAUUCUUGGACAAUAUUAGAGAAAAUAAUCAUAUUAUUUCGCGUGAUGUGAACUUCCAUAACUUAUCAAUUGAAUUGCUGUAAAAUAUUAAAUAGUUUUAUUUUUCUUUUAUCGUGUAACUUGGACCAAAAAAGGAAAUGAGUUUAACACGACCCUCAAUAUAACCUCCAUUUCAGCACAAUACAUGUUAAUUGUUCCCCAAGGACUUCUCCUGUUUCCCAUUCCCACCUCCAUGCUCUCGAGAGGAAUUUAGCACCCAUCAAUUUUUAUUUUUGAAAACUCGUAAUGGUCUGAUAAAAUUAAACAACAUCAAUAAUGUUACCAGUCUUUAAAUAGUAAUUAAUUUAUUUAAUUUGCCACCUAAAAGAAUCCUGCUGGAAAUAGAGGUUAAAAAUUUUAUUAGAUCUGCUUACCUUUGUUCAUUCAGCAAAAACACUUACAAUUCACAGCUAGAGAAUCUAUCCAUUGACAAUUGUGGAUUAAAAUUAUAACACCUGAAUUCAAACAUAUCCUUAUGAAGUUAUGAAUUUGUUCAUACUUCAAAUGAUUUUUUUUUCCAAGCUAAUAAAGCAACCACUUUGAUCAAACGACGACGUUGAAGGAAUUACGUAUUUUCAAUGUCCUUUUCCAGACAGAUGUUGGAGAGAGGGAAAGGAGAAGACUGGCCUAAUUAAGAUAUCUCACAAAGAUUAUUGAGUUAAAAUGUUAUUGUAAAAGAUGUUUAAUACAAUAAUAGUAAUUCUUUUGCAUUGUUAUAAUGAGGCUGGUGGGUUUCCUCAGAGGAUGGAUAUGGCUCGCUAGCAUGCAUUUGGGAAGAUGCUAAUUAUCGGCCAUAAAAAGUCAGGGGGUUGUGGCUCUUCCGUCGCCCAGAAAUUCCUAAACUCAUAUAUCAAACUUCAGAUGAACUUGGGCAUUAUGUAAAUAUGUAUUUUUGAGAAUUAAACUAGUGCGUUCGAAAAAUUUUGAGCCAUUGUAAUCAUUUUAUUUUGCUAAGAGAAAAUUUUACUUUGUUUCGCUUUGCCUUUUGUUUUUUCUGUGAUAAUAUGAUUCAUACGAAUGUGAUUACACACUAUCAUGCAUCUAUUUUCAUUUGCUUGUCAUGAAUGGUCAACAUGCUCGAAAUAUUUACUUAGGUUGGAAAUAUUUGAAUCCACUAAAAUACUAUACAAACCCAUUUUAAAAUUAAAAAAAUGAUUAUCAUAAUACUCGUGAAGAUAACACGAUAUCAUACAUAAAAUAAAAUAUUUCGCAAAAAAGAUAAGAUACAAAUCUUGAGUAAAUAGGUACAAAAAAUAUUUUAGUGGGUUAAGUAGCACUAAUGCCCCCUUAUCAAAAAAUAAAUAAAAAUAACUAGUCUGAUUGGGUAUACCGUUUAUAUAUAUGUACAUAUUCUUGAUAAUGUGUAAUGUACAUUAUAGACAAAGAUUUUGAAAGCAAUAUUUUUUAAAAAGUCGAGAGAAUAGGAAAAGUCUAAAUCAAUUUUCUAAUCUCUACCUCCUUUAUGAUUUAAACUUUAGUGUUUAGUGUCGCGAGCCACUCAAAUUUUCUAAUCAAAGAGACUAAAUUGCACGAAAUUGUGCUAGCUUAUUUGAUUCUAGAAAUUUCUACUACACUGUAACACACUCUCACGUAGGGAUGGCAAUGGGGAGGGGAGGGGAGGGGACCAAUCUCCCCAUAUCCAUCCCCGAUAUUUUACAUAUGUCCCCGUCCCCGUCAGAAUUGCUUGAGAGAAUCCCCAUCCCCUCCUCGAAUAAUAACAGGGGAUCCCCGAGGGUCCCCGGUCCCCGAAUAACUAAUAAUCUAAUACAUUUUUUUAUUUUCGAUUUUAAAUUAAUCAUAUUAAAAUAAACUCAUACCGCUAUUGUAAGCUCGUAACCAAUUUUGACAGCACAUUAAGGCCUCCAAUGUGCUUGGAUGAAGUCUGUUAUGGUAUGGGCUCACAACUCUACCACUAGUGUUAAAAGCUGAUUCAGAAGCAACUGUUGUAAUUGGAAUUGCCAAAAUAUCUCUAGCAAUUCGAGCUAAUGUAGGAUACCUAUUAGCAUUUGUCUUCCACCAACUCAAAAUAUUAAAAUCUUCCAUCCGAGGUAUAACUUUCUCAUCCAAAUAUGAAUCUAAUUCAUCUGCAACAACUGCACAAUCUCCAUUGUUUACAUAAUCAUCAAAACCUAUCAUCCAUUUGGUUGCUUUCUUAUAAGAAUCCCCUGUAGAUCUAGUAGAAGAACUACUACCAGUAUAAUCAAAGCAAUAAACAGUUGGUGAAAACUUCAAUUAAUACUCUUCAACUAAUUCCCGGCAAAGGAUGACCACUUUCCCAACAUACAACUAUUUUGAUAUUUAUUAUUUUUAACAAUAUUUAUAAUUUUGUUAUUUAUUUAUUAGUAAUUUUAAAAAUAAAAAUAAAAUUAAAAAUUAAAAUGGGGAAAUGGGUAGGGGAUGGGGAUUCCACCUCAUCCCCGUCCCCUCCCCGAAUAAAAAAUUGGGUAAAAAAUUUUCCCCGUCCCCUCCCCGAAAAAAAAAUUGGGUAUAAAAUUAUCCCCGUACCCUCCCCGAAUGGGGAAAAUCCCCGAGGGUAUCCGUCCCCGUGGGGAUUUUUGCCAUCCCUACUCUCACGCUUGUACAUACCUCGAAAUUCUCUAGAAUUUACUAGAGUAGUGUUGCAUGUAGCUUGUACAUAGGUUUUUCUGGAACACUCCAGGCAUUACUAAGCAUGAGAGCCUUGAGAACUCUCUAGCCAUAAAACAUUCUAGGGUAAGCCUACCCUAAAAAUAGGGCAUGAUGCUUGCCACUUGAGCAUACAACAAGUAAGAACAAAUCAAGCAUACUUGUGAGCUCUCAAACUCUCUUAUACACACUUUUAUGAAUAAUAUAUUCUCUCUUUGGCUAUAUUGCUCUCUCUUCUCUCUAGUUUUUUUCGCAAGCAUCAAACCUUAGUUAGUCGAAAAAUUCAAGGCUUACUUUAUAGCUAUCUCGUAAAAGUUGUUUAAGUACCAUAGAGAUUUGCUGUGCAAAAUACUCAUCACAUGACAUUAGCUAAAUAAAAUUGUUUGAAAGCCACUUACCCAAACUAUUAAACGAAUAUUGACUUUUGUCUUAAUUUUCUAUCUCCUACGAUAAAUUUUAUAGUUAAAAAUUGAAAAAAAUUAAUAACUAUUAGAUAGAGCAUUCUUUAUUGUUAAAAGAAAUCUAUAUAGAUAGAUAGAUGGUAAUAUAAAAACUUACUUAUUGUAGUAUAAUGUUUUUAGUUUUUUGAAACACAGAUUCUCACUUUUUAAAGAUAAAAUUCAAAGAAAACAAGUUAAAUGUUGUAGAAAAUCUUCCAGCCAUACAAGAAAUUGUGAUGGCUAAAUGCAAACCUAACUAAAGUAUUAGUUGUUUUAUUACAAUCUCCAAAAAGAUGAGCAAUUCCAAAAUCUUUUUUUGUGACAAUAAACACUACACGUCAGUAAUUAUCCAGGUCAAAAGCAAGCUACUCUAUUAAAAAAAAAAAAAACUUGCAGUGAAUUCGAAGAUAAACCAAUUUUACUAGCAAGUUGGAUACAAAAGAGUAGGGCUUCGGCCUCAAUUACUCAGUGUACCAACAACUCAAUCUCGGUGAGUUAAAAUCAACUUCCAUCAGUCUUUUAUUUGUUGAUAGAUCGAUUAAGGUACCAAAAAGAAUAAUUAAAGAUGUAUUAGUUCAAGUUAAUAAAUUCAUAUAUCUUGUGGAUUUUAUUAUUUUGGAAACUGAACCAAUUGCUAAUGAAUGCAAACAAAUUCCUGUUACAUUGGGUCGUCCAUUUUUAACUACUGCUAAUACAUUGAUUAAUUGCUGGAAUGGAGUAAUGAAUUUAUCUUUCGGCAACAUGACAUUGGAACUUGAUGUGUUCAACAUAUGUAAACAACCUCACCACCAGGAAGAUGAUGAUAAUGAGAAUUAGGAGAUUGAUUUCAUCGAGCCAAUCAUUGAGGAACACAUUCAGAAUAAGAAUUUUACAAAUUCUGUGGAAAUUUAUUCUUCUUGUUCUUUUGAAUCGAGUAAAGAAUUAAAUUAUGAUACUGCUAACAUAUAACCUACAAUUGAUUCUAUGCAGGUACAUGCUGACAAUGGCCAAUCAAACUUUAAAGAUACAGAACAACCUGAAGAACCAAACGAAGAGCAAGUACCAGAGCUCAAAUUAAAGCCCUUACUGGAAGAAUUGAAGUAUGUCUAUCUUGGAGAACAACAGAUUUAUCCUGUGGUAAUUUUUUUCCCAACUCACGCUUGAUCAAGAAGGUAAGUUGUUGUCUGUACUAAAAAGGCAUAAAACUGCAUUUGGCUGGACUUUAAAAGACAUAAAAAACAAUAAUUCUUUAAUCUGCACACACCGAAUACACUUAGAGGAAAAUACCAAAACAACCCAUCAACAUCGACAUUAUAUGUGUAAACAUUAAAUACCAAAAUCAACCCCAAAAACUAUAAAUAAAAUAUCAUGAUUAAAAUGAAGUUUUUUUUUAGAUAUUCGUUGUAGUAUCUCUUUAGAUCGCAAACAAGAGAUAAAAUAAAUAAAUAUUUGCUAUGUAAAUAAAAAUAAAUAAUUUUUUUUAACUGAAAAAUAUUCUCAAAAACUAAAUAGUUCAAACUUUUUUUAACAUCAUGUGUUUCUAGGGUUGGGCAUUCAGUUCGGUUUUUACCGAACCGAACAACUAAAUUAAAUCGAAAUUACCUGUUCGGUUCAAUUGAAUAGACAAAAACCGAAGAGUUUAUAUUUUCAUGAACUGAAUGAUUUGUGUUUCAGUUGAGUUCGGUUCGAUUCUGGACCUGAACCGAACCGAACCGAUCCGUGAAUCGUAAACUGCCCACCCUUACGUAGUAGUUUCCGUUAACCGACGUUGUAUUGCUCGUAUAAAAUUGUUCAAAUGUUCAAAUCACAGUCUCCCGCUCUCAGCUCAGUCAGAGUUUCCAGGUCCAGAGACUUCCCGCUGACUGAGAACUUUUUCGUAGCAGGUCUACAAAUAAUGGAGUAGAGCUGAUUUUAUGAUUAAUUUAUUUCCUUUUUCAAUUUCUCUUGAUUGCGAUUUAAUCUGGAAAGUUAAACGUGAAUUGUUUAGUGCGGAUUAAAUGUUCGACGAAUUUCCCACAAGAGUAUUAAGUUCAAGAGAAAAAAAGAAAACAAUUGAGCGUGAGCGUGAGCGAGAAUGGUGUUUGGGCAAGUGGUGAUUGGUCCGCCCGGCUCGGGAAAGACCACUUACUGCAAUGGCAUGUCUCAGUUUCUCAGCCUUGUUGGCAGGUAACUUCGUUUCUUGAUUUCAAGCAGCUUUAUCUUCGAUGACCAAAAAUAUUGAUUUGGGCUUUGCCAUUAAAUGAAUGUAAGAGCAGUAGGGAAUAACUGAGUUAUAGGAUUAGCUUUAAGUGAACAUUGAUGGUAAUGUGAAGGUUGUAUGUGUUCAGUGGCAAGCUGUAUGCCAAUUUGGUCUAUAUGGUUGCUUAGGUAGUAACUUAUUAAUUUUUAGGCAGGAAGGUUGCAGUCAUCAAUUUAGUUCCUGCUAAUGAUAGUUUGCCGCAUCCUUUGUCAUUGAACUUUCUUACAAAUGCUGUGGUUUGUUGUAGUAUAAUUAGUUCAAUUGGAAAUUUCCUUGAUGUUAAUAUAGAAAUGAGUGUGCUGUGAAUAUUGAGGACCUCAUUAGACUAAGUGAUGUGAUGAUGGAGUAUUCACUUGGUCCCAAUGGAGGUUAGUCAGCCUAUUGUUGUUUACUCUUUCUUGCUUUAUCACGCAAUGAUAUUCCUUUGCUUUACAACAAAUUUCAUGAAAUUAACUUCAAUCAAGUGGCAAUGUUCAUACGCUGUUGAGAUUUUAUGGACAAUGAUUUGGUAGAAUUUAUAUGCCGUCUUCUUUCUUUUUGCAGUGAUAUGCUUGUAUUCAAUGAGCUUGUACUUAUUCUAUGGUUUCUAAAGUAGGUGUUUUUAUGAUAAACUAGGUCUUGUGUAUUGUAUGGACUAUCUAGAGAAGAAUAUUGACUGGCUGCAGUCGAAAUUGGAACUACUUUUGAAAGGUAAGUAGAGGCCAUUUUCCUUCAUUCUAAUGCCAAUAAUGCUGUCAUGAGACUCAUAAAAAUUGUUAAAACGUUAAUGUUUUUGGUAUUUUGCAGAUCGUUAUCUUCUGUUUGAUUUUCCUGGCCAAGUUGAAUUAUUUUUUCUUCAUUCCAAUGCCAAGACUGUUAUAAUGAGACUCAUAAAUAAGUUAAAUCUCAGGGUAUUGUUACAUCUUACAUCUAUGAAGGGACUCAAAGAGUUGAGAUGAAUUCAUCUUUGUUAUUUUGAUGCCAGAAUUGUGCAAUUCUCAGUUUGUUCCUUUCACAUGCAGUUGACUGCAGUGCAUCUAGUUGAUGUGCAUCUUUGCAGUGACCCCAGGAAGUAUGUUAGUGCUUUGCUUCUCUCAUUGUCUACGAUGCUACAUCUGGAACUUCCCCAUGUCAAUGUCUUGUCUAAUCGAUCUGAUUGAGAAUCAUGGAAAGCUAGGUGUGGUUUUAAGUGUAGCUCUCCUGCUUGUUUGUUUAGUUUGAAAUAUCAGAUAUUGUCACAAGAUCCUAUUUGCUACAUUUCCUCACCAAUCAAUUAUUUUGGGUCUGUUGCAGCUUUUAAUCUCGAGUACUAUACAGAUGUGCAAGAUUUGUCAUAUUUACAGCAUGCUCUCGGUCAGGACCCUCGUUCUGCUAAGUACAGGUUUGAAUUCUAGCUGAAUCAAUGAUGCAAAUUAUGUCCAUUGUUAUUUCUGCUGUUGUUUCUAUCAUUUUCAAUUGUUACUUCCCCUUUCCAUCUACUACCACACUACAAUACCCACACAAAUGUUGUGAAAUUUGUCAAUGGAAAAAAAACAGUUCCUCUUUUAUUUUGAUCAGACUCAAUGAAUAAGUGGUUAAAAUGUGCCUGUCCUAGAAAUAUAGAUGUGUGGUUUCGUAAAAUUUUCUUGAUCUUAAGAAAGAGUUAUCUCGAAAAGAAGAUAACAUGGAGAAUUCAACAACUAUACAGUCAUAUUGAUGUCUGUCAACUUGGGUCAUAUGGUGUCGUUUGGAUGGAGAUGUUAGGUCCCAGAUGGUAAACUUGUUAUCGAAUUCCAGUCUACUUCAUUCAUGCUUUGAUGACAUAUACGGUGCAGCUUCUUAUCUAAGACCUGCAUAUGUUCAAUCAUCAUUCUGUUCUGUAUUUGGCUGCCAUUCUUUUCAAUGAAUUCAAACCACUUCUGAAUACUUGCAAAUUCAUCCAGUGUUGUCAUUGAGAUGCCAAUAUGAAAGGAAGCCAUAAUUGCCCUUGAUAGUAUGCUUAUUGAUUGCCUCUUGCCUCACUCAGCCUCAUGAAUCUGCUUGUAUGGUGUUCUUGUAAUUUCAUUUGGAGAUUAGUAAUAUCUGUUGUUCAAAUGUAUUUUAUAUACCAGCAGUUAAUAAUUCUGCUUGCAGAAAGCUUACAAAGGAGCUGUGUGAUGUAAUUUUUCAACCUUAGAUAUCCAGGUCAUCAGUUUCUCUUGAAUUCUUUCUUGAAUUUCUUUGAAUUAUUUGUGAAUAAGAUCUUAGUUGGCUGCUUCUCUUCAGGAUAAGGAAAGUGUGGCAAAACUCGUGAAGCUGAUAUAUAAAAGCAAUGGGUACAUCUUUGCUGGCAUGGAUGCCAGUGCAGUUGAAUUCAGCAAGAUUGCCGUUCGCGAUGUUGAUUGGGAUUAUUUCGGAUAUCCUUCUUUUCACCUAUUUUCAAUGUUGUUAUUCUCAUAUUCAUAAAAUUUUUUGGUUAUUUAAUUAUGGUUCAUCAUAUGCAUCUGCAUCUUCUAACUUGUUCGUUUGAGAAACUAAUUUUGCCGUUAGGUAGGCUUCGAGCUUGAUGAGUUGAUUCAUGCUUUUUUCAUAAAUGUACCAAAAUCAUGGAAACUUCUUUUUCCCAGAUAUUGUAUCCACACUUUUUCCAUGUAAUUGGGUCAGACAAGUUUUGCUUAACAAAGAUAUCUACAGUAGCCGAAGUGCAGGAGAAGUACAUUAAGGAUGAUGAUGAUGUUAACUAAAAUGAGACGUGAAGAUAUGUGGUGUGCGAACCGUAAGCCUGCCUCUUAAUUUUGUGCAUGUUUACUUGCUUGUGAUUCACGUUUGUUAAUCUAUUUUGCUCUCUUGCAGGAGUUAUAAAGUUUUCAAUCAAUCAAACAUUUAACUUAAGUCCUUACCUCUUGCUGCAAAGACAAUGGGAAGUCUCAUGAGCUCUAAAAAAACUGAAGAAGAGUGGAAAAUAAUUUUAAAUAGUGAUUUAUGGAAGGUAAAAGAGAUCGAGAAAGGUGUUCUAACCCCUUUGUGGUUGAGUUAUAAUGAUUUGCCGUCCAGAGGAAAAAGAUGUUUCUCGUAUUGUGCUGUCUUUCCAAAAGACUACAAUAUAAAAAAAGACAAAUUAAUUACUUUGUGGAUGGCUCAAGGUUAUCUUAGUGCAGAAGCAGCAGAACAAGAUGAGGAGUUGGAGACUAUAGGUGAAGAGUAUUUUGGCAUCUUAGCUUCUCGCUCUUUCUUUCAAGAGUUUCAGAAACGUUAUGAUAAUCGUAUUAUAGCGUGCAAGAUGCAUGAUAUGGUACAUGAUUUUGCCCAAUUUGUUAGUCAAAAUGAAUGUUUUUCGUUGGAAGUUAAUGGUAGUGAGGAACUAACCGUCACAAACUCUACAAACUCUCUUGAUGAGAAGGUCCGUCAUUUAAUGUUAAUCUUUAGUAAAGGGACUUCAUUACCUGUUUCCACUCGUAGAGUUAAAAGAAUGCGUACCCUCUUAAUUAACGAUAGUAGAUCUGAUCAUUCAUUAUUAAAUGGUGAGAUCCUAGAAGAAUUAUUUAGGGAAUUGACAAGUUUAAGGGCAUUAGAUUUUGGCAAAUCGUAUAACUCAAGUUGGUCUUCGACUGUGGAGAUUCCGAGAACCAUAGAAAAGCUGGUACAUUUAAGAUACCUUAAUUUGUUUUAUCAGGGAAUAAAGAAACUACCGGAGACAUUAUGCGAGUUGUAUAAUCUAGAAAAGUUAGAUAUUAGUUUAUGUUUUAAUCUUAAAGAAUUACCUGAAGGGAUUGGGAAGUUAAUAAACAUGAAGCAUUUACGAAAUAGAGGUACUAGUUCUUUAAGGUACAUGCCAGUAGGGAUUGGGAGAUUAACGGGUCUCAGGACCUUGGAUGAGUUCCACGUGAGUGGAGGAAAGCGUGUAGGCUUGAAUCUCUUAAAAAAUUGGAACACCUUCAAGUAUGUGGUAUACGUAGACUGGGUGAUGUAUCAGAUGUGGGCGAGGCUAAGCGAUUAGAACUUGACAAAAAGAAAUACCUCUUCAGUUUGACCCUUGAGUUUGAUAAGAAGGAGGAAGAAGAAGGAGAAAGGAGGAAGAACGAGGACGAUCAAGUUCUUCUUGAAGCCCUACAACCACCUCUCAAUUUAAAGGAAUUAGAGAUAGAGUACUACCGAGGCAACACUGUUUUCCCCAGCUGGAUGACGUCAUUAACCAACUUAAAGAGUUUAGAUCUCUCUUCCUGCGAAAAUUGGGAGCAGCUGCCUCCUUUGGGAAAAUUGCCAUCCCUUGAAGCACUCAGCCUAUGGGACAUGAAGUGUGUGGAAAGAGUGGGUGAUGAAUUUUUGGGGAUAGAAAGUGAUCAUCAUGGCUCAUCUUCAUCGGUUAUUAUUGCCUUCCCCAAAUUGAAAUCACUUUCAAUUGAGGUUCUGCGCGAAUUGGAGGAGUGGGAUUAUGGGAUUACAAGAACGGGAAACACCGUCAUCAACAUCAUGCCACGUCUUUCUUCCUUGACAAUUGCACUUUGCCCCAAAUUAAAGGCACUGCCCGACCACUUUCAUCAAACGACAACAUUGAAGGAAUUGCACAUUUGGGAUUGCAGGCUUCUGGAAGAACGUUAUUGCAAGGGGGAAGGAGAAGACUGGCCUAAGAUAUCACACAUUCCCAACCUCCAUAUUGGGCUUUGACAAGUAAUUUCUUCUCUUACUCUGAUUUGCUUUGUUGUUGUUUUUAAUCUAAUUAAGAAGCGUAAAUAGCAUUUUGAAUCAAACUCUAUAUCAGAAAUCUGCAAUACUUACUUUCUAAUAUUCUGAUUUUCAUAUCCUAUGAAUAUACGAUUUUUAAUUUGUGAGAUGGGUAACGUUACUGUAAAAGAUUAUUAAUGCAAUAUGAGUAAUUCUUUUGCAGGACAAGUGACCUACAUUUAGUUUGGCUUUGGAGUUGAAUAAUAACCUUUCGAGGUCCCGACAACCAAAAAACGAAGCUUAAUUUGCCACAGAUUGCACGUAUUGCCAUUAUUGACAAUUUUCUGCACAAGCUUAGGUUGAUGUCAAAAGAGGUAAAUUAUUGGCAUGCCUGACUAUUUUGACCAUUACACGAUUCAUAAGUUUACAUUAAUUUUGAUUUUGAGUUGAGUGAUUAGUUUUCUAGGUUUGCUUACUUUAACUGGGUGACCAAUUUCUUGUAACUAAAUGUAUGAUGUGAAGCAGAACUCAAACAAAAGUAUGCUACUUCUUGCGGAAAUCUUGCCUUUGUUCAGAUUAUGAAACCAUUUCCAUGCAGCAAAUUCAUCCAAAAGUUUGAAUAAGUUUCACGGUUGGACACUGUUGGUUUCUUUUUCUUCUGGGGUGCAUUUAGGUGCUAUCAAGUGACAGCUGUAAGUAUGAUUGCACUAAGCUGCCGCUGGGAAAUUUGAGGUUUUGAUGGCUGCCCAUGUUAUUUUCAAGAAACUAUUGAUGUAAGAAGCUGUGGUUCUUUUCAUCAGCUUGAACCUGAAACUGUCGCUAUGGAUAACUCAGGUUUUUGUUAUCAACUAUAUCAUCUUUUUCACUAUUUUGAAACUCUUAAGAUUAAACUUUAGUAAAGUUGUUUCAGCUUUUCAAAUGAAAAACUCAUUGAUUUGAGACUUCCUUCAUUAUUGUUUCUAAUUACAAUGCUAACGAUCCAGAUAAGAUAAUAUUUAAUCGGCGAAGGUGUCCCUUGGAAGUACAUCCUUCUUUUUCUUUUAUUAUACAAAUUCUUGCAAUGAGCUUAGUGAAGCUGUUGUGCUAAUCAUGCCACUGCAUAAUUUGGCCCCUAAUGUGGGUACUCUGUUACAUUGUUCUGCAAAUUCUCCAGAAGUUAAAAUCAAUAAAUUUUCUAUUAGCUCUAGUGCUUUGACCUAAAUGCUAUUCUAUAUUCUGAUUACAAUGUUUUACCUUUAAAUUAACUACCCCUAGAUGUUGGAUUUUCUAGAACUUCAAAAUGAUUAAUGGAGAAAGAUCCCAUUAUCGUUAUUGCUAUAAAAAAUUGAUUUAUGCAUCCAAAGAUACAUUAUAUAUUUCUGUGUCUCUAUUUAUAGAUGACAUUUAAGCAUCCAUAAACCGUCAGACAGAGGAAGGGGGUUCAGUGCAAAGAUUCUGUUGACCUAGGGUUGACUGCAUAAUGUCACUUGUUCGCAAUCUAUUAUUCUUUUCAAGGUCUGCUUCCUUAACGGAGCGACCAAUGUUUUUCAACUAAAUUUAUCAUAUGAUGCAGGAAGCAGGGCAGGAUAUGAAAUGUGAAGCUCAUUGGUGGAAGUAUUGCCAGUAACAGAACCCAAAGAAAAUGAAACUAUUUCAAGGCAGCAGUUGGCAGUUGCAAGUGAAUGGAGGCCCUUGACAAAAUUCUCAAGCGGUUGCAAUGCAAUUACGAUCAUCCUCAGCCUCAGGUAAUUUCUUCUCCUGCUUUGUAUUUAUUUGUUAUCUAAUUAGGAACCGUAAAGUAUCUUGAAUCAUUUUCUGUAUCUGGAAUAUAUGCAAGAGUUUCUAAAAUUUUGAUAUGAGUGUAAUGAUGGUAAUUUCUGUUUUCUGUCUGUCAUCAAAUGUUAGAAAACUUUCAUUGAGACCCUUGAACCGAGUCAUUUUUGACAAGUGAAGUGCUGAAGAGUGAAGAGUAAGAAUGGUGCUAGAUUGGGGAAUAAAGCAAAAGGAGGUAAAUUAUUGGCAGCUUCUUCAACCUUAUUUUCUUUGGACCAGUGCCUAAUUCACAAGUCUCCAUAAUUCGGCUUUUGACCAGUUGAUAGAUAAAAUUUUAAUUUCAUUGGUGCUAAUGUACCCGUGAGGCAGGCAGAGAAGGACUGUGGAAAAGAGAAGGUUUUUAGUGAAAGCUUAAACUCAGGUAAUUCUAAAAAUUAUAUGUUUUGGCUGAUUUAUCUAAAUCAGGAAAUUUUAUUUCCAUCUGUUACAAUAAAACAGAAACAGAACACAAAGAAAAAUAUUCUACUUCUUGUGGCAAUCUUGCCUUCAUUCAGACUAUGAAACCAUUUCCUUUCACCAAUUUCUUCCAAAAGUUUGAACACAUUUCAUGGUUGGACAUAGUUAGCUUCUUUUUCUUUUGGUGCAUUUAGGUGCUAUCAAGUGACAGCCGUAAGUAUGAUUGCAUUAUUGGGAAAUUUUAGGUUUUGAUGGCUCCCCAUGUUAUUGCCAAGAAAUUUUAAGUCCUCGUGUCAGAAGCUGCGUUUCUUUUCAUCAGCCUGAACCCGAACCUGUCACUAUGGAUAACUGAGGUUUUUGUCAUCAACUAUAUCAUCUUUUUCACUGUUUUGAAACUCUUAAGAUUAAACUUCAGUAAAGUUGUUUCAGUUAUCCAUGUAAUCAGGCUAAGGAUAUUUAGCAGCUUAUUUAGGCAACUGCCAGAAUUCAGUUUGUUCGCUCGAAACUUGUAUGGUGACAAGGAUACUGGCAAGGAUAGUGAGAUAGUUUUUUGUGUGAGUGAAUUUUGAAAGCUUGGGUGUUCUGGGAUUUGCAAUUGCAAUCAUCCUCUGCUUUAGGUGAUUUCUUCUCCUGUUCUGUCUUUAUUUUCUCUCUAAUUGAAAGCAUUUCAAUCAAAUUCUGUACCAGGAAUACGAAAAAUUUACCAAUAUUUUAUUUCCAUCUGUUUGCAUUGAUAACUUGGCCGCAUAUGUACUAGUUAAAGAACAAACAGAAGCAGAGUUCAGGAAAAAGUUUCUUCGGCCACCAUAUUUGAAAAUGAAACCAUUUCCAGGAAGCAGUUGGCAGCAAAUUCAUACAAAGUAUAGACAAUGAUGAACAAAAAGGUGAUUCGCAAUUUCAUUUUUUUAAAAUGAAAUUAUUUGUUAAGUUGGAGCUGAUAUUGUUAGAAGGCCAUUGAGCUAACCUCUGACACUGCUUGCCUAGAUUGCAGGAGGUCAAGACUCAAAAGAUGCACUGAAUUUUAAAAGGCAUGCAAUAAUUCUUAUGGCCAUUUGUCAAUGGUGGAAUGCUUUUAGCUUCUUUUCCUUUUGUGCAUUUUGGGGUUCUAUCAAGCGACAGCCGUAUGUAUGGAUGGAUAUAGCUGCUGCGUUGAUUUCUAAUGCAUUGUAUGAUGUUAUAGCAACUAUCCAUCUGGUCAAUGUUUCAAAAGAAUAAGACAGGGAAAAAGAGAAAGCAAGUGGCCAAUCAAGUUGCAUCAACCAAAUUGUUGUUAAACAAGUAAAACAAAGAAAGAGAGUUAAGGAAGCUGACCUUGUAGUAGGGGAGCUGAAGAAAGGCUGCCAGUGAAUGUAAGAGAAAAUAAAAUGCAAGAAAUGGUGAAGUGCAGCUUUUCAUGUCAACUUGAAAUUGAUUUUUCUGUUUGUUUUUUUUUUUUUGUAAUCUUUUGGAUUUUUCAAACAAAGAAAAUGAGGAGCAACCAGGGAGAUAAAAAGGGCGCCAAGGCAACUGUGUGUUGGGUUUAGAGCCAAAAAUAAAUAAAUAAAUAAAUAAGACAUCGUGUUCUUGUGGAGACCAGACCUAUUACGUAACGUCCCCUUCAAUACCACUUGUUCCGUAUCUGGUUUUCUCUUCGUCGUUUACAUAUUUAUCCUGUGAUUUUACAAUAACUAAAUAAUCCCCGCAUAGUUUGCAAUUUUAUUCAUUUGGGCCCUACAGAUUUCAGUAAUAGGAAUUAUUAAGGGACAAGAGCGCAAAACAGAAACUCUGUCCACUACUGAUGAUAUAAUAACGAACCUUUGUUUUUUUUUUUUAAAAAAAAAAAGAGUAACAAAAUAUCAUUAGACAAAUGAAAAUAUUAUCUAACAUCACCUAUUCACCUUACUGAUGAUAUGAAAAUAUGUAUGUAUGUAUGUAUGUAUGUACAUAUAUACAUACACCUAUGUAACAUUUACUUAUACAUUCUUUUGAGUUUAAAUCUUAAUACAACUACAUACAACCACAUCAAUGUAUAUAUUUUUUACAUAAGACAUGCCGUCCUAUUAUUCAUAAGUAAACAAUGUGCCGUAAAUAGUAUUCUGUGUUUUCUCAAAGUUGACUUUUCGUCUUUUAUUUUCAGACGCAGACGCUAUGUCAUUUUGUAAUCGUCCGAACAUAUACAGAGCAGAAUUGGUGUUAUCUGAUUUUGUGAUGCAAUAAGAUUUGCACUUCCUGUGCAUUCAAUGGAAUCAUGCCACGCUAGUAGACAAUAUGCUAGUUUGAACAAACUUGUUUGAAUGGCAAAAACGACAUGACCUGCUGUAGUAUUAAUUCUUUCCCGAACCAACGGGUGAUUUGCUACGUUGGAUCAUGAAAAUUAACCAAAAUAAAAAUUCUUAAGGAAUUAGUUAGUUAAUUGAUUGAUCGAAUUUAAUCUAAAUUUGAAAAUGAUAAGAUAAAUUUAAAUUUAUUAUUAUUAUUAUUAUUAUUAUUUUAAAGUGGGUGGGUUUAUACAAUUUGAGCGGUGGAAAUAUCACUGCUGAAUUAUUAAAUAUACAGUGUAAAAUUUUGACCUUUAAAAUAUUCCCUUUUUUUUUUUAUUUAGCACUAUAAGUUUAAAAAUUUAACAUUUUACCUCAAUAAUUAAAUACUUUUAACUUUAAUCUUCAAAUAUUUACCCUACAACAUUUGGACCUAAAUUUUUAAUCCGACUCGGCCCCUGACCCAAGUGGGAAGAAGAUCAGGCUUAUAAGUUAUAACUAUCACCAACAUAACAUCUUCUGGAAAAUAAUAAGAUUACUCACCUGCAAUUAUGUGAUCAAACUAAUGGUAAGCAAAAUAGAACAGCGUUAUUUCAGUCCCCUUUCAGUUUCUUUAUCAUUUUUCUUUUCCUAUUUAUAAGCUUAAUUCGGUUCAAAAUCGGCUAAUUCACUUUGAUUUCACUUUUCUUUCUUUCGGUUCAAAAAAAUUGAACCCAUUGGCUGUCAAUUCAAUUUUGUUGAAAACCAACUUUGCCUGAAUUUAAGUAAUAAUAGAGGAAAAAAAAAGAGUACUUAGCAGAAGAGAUUUCUCAUUUUUUUCUCAUUCAAACUUCUAAAAUAAAAGAAAAAAAAACAAGAGUAAUUGUUAAUUAUCAAAAUUUUGUUUAUACUAUUCCACCAAGAAAAUUAUACAAAAAAAAAAAUUUUAAAAAUUGGAGAAGAAAUAUGAGGUGAAAUACGUGGAUGGCUUAGACUAAUAAUGUGAACAAAUUCCUCUUGGAAGCAUGUCAUUGUUCAUCCGGACAACACGCGGCGAUGAGAUUCGAGAAUAAAAGGAUAGGAAUCAACUGUAACCUCAUAAACAAAUGGCCUUGGAGUUGUAACCAAAGCUUUUAAUUAUUGAUCAUUAAGAUCGAUAUAAAGUAUCACGAAAUGAUGUGUACGACGACAAUAUCAAUAGCGUAGUGUGAAGACCUGGCUGUAAACACAAGGCUCGGCAGAUUAAUUAAACAAGAGUAUCCGAAUUUUCUAUGAUAAUCUCUAGGAAACGAUCAGCUAUAAUGUACGAAAUUAAAAUAUUGCAUAUAUUUUUGAAUUUUUGAACUCAUGCAUUAAUUUAAAAAAUUAUAUCGUAUUAUAAUUUAUUCACAAAAGAAAGAAAAAUUCACUAAUCAAGUGAAAUCGUAUUCUUAUUGAAAUGAAUUCCAGUAAUUGGAUAAAUAUAAGUAUUUCUUCCGUUGUAAUUUUUGUUUAACAGAAAAUCUAUUUGAGAUUUUGUGAGAAGAAACUCAACAAUAAAGUUUGAUAGACUUUGUGGAUAUUAAGAGUUUGACAAGUAAUUGAAAUCUGAAGUUUACUGAAAUUUACGAGCAAACAAACUGAAAUCCGAAGUUUACUGAAGUUUACUAUCAAGAGUUUCAAAACAGUGAAAAAGAUGAUAUAGUUGAUGACAAAAACCUGAGUUAUCCAUAGCGACAAGUAACAUACUGAAGUAAGCCGUUGGGAGCUGGCCUGUUCAUGGGCUAUUUUUCUCUGAUGAUCUGCAUUUUUCUUCCUUUUAAAGUGAACCUUGACUCGUAUCAAACCUGUCAAAAGAACAGUUCAUCAACUGAGCUGAGAUUUGCUUUCCUUUUUCAAAACCCACCUGAGAUAUUGUAAUUCCCAAAUUUCUCUCUCUCAGCUACACGAGCAAGCAGCCGCUUUUUCACUUCAUCGAAGAAGGUAAGCGAUUUAUCUAUUUCGUCCGAUUGAUUUCUUGUUUCGUUUUCAGUGUUCGGGUAAAUUAUUGGCAUGCCUGACUUUUUGACCAUUACAUGAUUCAUAAAUUUCUAUUAAUUUUGAUUUUGAGUUGACUGGUUACUUUUAUAGGUUUGUUUACUUUGACUAGGUGACCAAUUUCUUGUAACUAAAUUUAUGACGUGAUGCAGGAAGCUCGGCAGGAUAUGAAAUGAGAAUCUUAUUAGUGGAAGGAUUGCCAGUAACAGAACCCAAAGAAAAUGAAACCAUUUCAAGGCAGCAGUUGGCAGUUGGGAGUGGAUGGAGGCCCCUGACAAAACUUCAGUAAACUUCAGAUUUCAGUUUGUUUGCUCGAAACUUGCAUGGUGACAAGGAUACUGGCAAGGAUAAUGAGAUAGUUUUUGUGUGAAUGAAAUUACGAUCAUCCUCAGCCUUAGUUGUUAUUUGUUACCUAAUUAAGAAGCAUAAAGUAUCCUGAAUCAUUUUCGUUGUCUGGAACAUAUGAGUGUAAUGAUUGUAAUUUCUGUUUUCUGUCUGUCAUCGAAUGUAAGACAACUUUAUUAAGAUUCUUGAACCGAGUCAUUUUUGACAAUUGAAGGACAAGUGCUGAAGAGUGGGAAUGCAAAAAGUUUUGUUGUUUCUAGCCUUGUUUUCUUUGAACCAGCGCCUGAUGAUAUAACAGAAACAAGGCUAGAAACAACAAAAACUCUGUCCACUACUGAUGAUAUAACAACGAACCUUUGUUUUUUUCUUUUUUCUUUUUUUUUUUAAAAAAAGUAACAAAAUAUCAUUAGAGAAAUGAAAAUAUUAUCUAACAUCACCCUACUGAUGAUAUGAAAAUAUGUAUGUAUGUAUGUAUGUAUAUACGUAUGUAUGUACAUAUAUACAUACACCUAUGUAACAUUUAAUUAUACAUUCUUUUGAGUUUAAAUCUUAAUACACAUUUUCAUGAAAUUUUUAUUUUAUUAAGUAUACAACUACAUACAACUACAUUAAUGUAUAUAUUUUUUACAUAAGACAUGCCGUCCUAUUAUUCAUAAGUCAACAAUGUGUUGUAAAUAGUGUUCGUGUCUCAAAGUUGACUUUUCGUCUUUUAUUUUCAGACGCAGACGAUAUGUCAUUUUAUACACAGCAGAAUUGGUGUUAUCUGAUUUUGUGAUGCAAUAAGAUUUGCACUUCCUGUGCACUCAAUGGAAUCAUUUCUUUGUAACUAAUUGGGUGCUGGAAUGGUGGUCAAAUCUCGAACGAAGACAGAUCUAUCAAACUCCAGAAUUGGUGUUAUCUGAUUAAUUGAUUGAUCGAAUUUUAUCUAAAUUUGAAAAUGAUAAGAUAAUUUUGAAUUUAUUAUUAUAAUUAUUAUUUUAAAGUGGGGUGGGUUUAUACAAUUUGAGCGGUGGAAAUAUCACUACUGAAUUAUUAAAUAUACAGUGUAAAAUUUUGACCUUUAAAAUAUUCCCUUUUUUUUUUAUUUAGCAUCUAUAAAUUUAAAAAUUUAACAUUGUACCUCAAUAAUUAAAUACAUUUAACUUUAAUCUUCAAAUAGUUACCCUACAACAUUUGGACCUAAAUUUUUAAUCCGAUUCGGCCCCUGAUCCAAGUGGGAAGAAGAUCAGGCUUAUAACUAUCACCAACGUAACAUCUUCUGGAAAAUAAUAAGAUUAUUCACCUGCAAUUAUGUGAUCAAACUAACGGUAACCAAAAUAGAACAGCGUUAUUUGAGUCCCCUUUCAGUUUCUUUAUCAUUUUUCUUUUCCUAUUUAUAAGCUUAAUUCGGUUCAAAAUUGGCUAAUUCACUUUAAUAAGUUUAUUGGUUUGAACGCUGUUAGCUUCUUUUCCUUUCGUGCAUUUUGGUAUGCAACAGUUCUUGCCUAUGACACUGCUUGCCUAGAUUGCAGAAGGUCAAGGCUCAAAAGAAGCACUGAAUUUUAAAAGGCAUGCAACAGUUCUUGUGCCAUAUGUCAAUUCAUGCAAGUUUGAAUAAGUUUUUUGGUAUGCUAUCAAGUGACAGCCGUAUGUAUGGUUUGCAUAUAGCUGCUGCUGGGAAAUGUGAGGAUUUCAUGGCUGGCCGUGUUAUUGUCUUAAAUUAGAUGUGAUAAGCUGUUGCUUGGUGAUUCUGUUGCCAAGAAUUUGCUCACAUCAGAAGCUGUGGAACCUGAACCCUUCUCUAGAUAUCAUCUUUUUCAUUGUUUUAAAACUCUCAGGAUUAAACUUGAGUAAUUUUGUUCGGUUGUCUAUAUAAUCAUGUAUUGAGUAAACUCUCAGGAUACUGAGCAGGCAAAUGCCAUAACUCGGUUUGUUCUUCAAAAACUUGUUUAAGAUUCUUGACAAAGCUGCAUGAAGUGAAUCUUGGGAGCUUUGAGGGUGAGAGAAAUUAGAGGGUGUAUAGGGAUUUGGGCUUAUUAGGAAGUUAUAUAUGUAUUUCGUCACUUAUCAUUAUCAUUUUUUUUUUCACAGAAAACCUUCUGAUGGUGCUAAAUUUUCAAACACCGGUCCGAUUCAAAACUUCAUAUUCCAAUUAUAUUCAUAAGACAAAUGGAACACUUUGAACGGCUUGUGUCCGAGCAUUGUAGUUUGAUUUAUUUUGAUGACAGUACCUUUUGACAUUGAGAUUCUUUCAUGAUUUAAACAUUCUUUUAAAAACUAAAUUAUUAAAAAAAAAGUAACUAACAUAUAUUAUUUUAUUAGUGCUUUUUAAAUCAAAUAUACAUAGGAGAACUGUAAUUCUUAGCAAUCAAUUUUCCACUAAAUACACCUGCAACAAACUAUUAAUAGCAAAGUGAUAGAAAAUACCUGAUUUUUCAUACUUUCUAAUUUCUUUUGGUCCUAAAAUAUGGGCAUUUGUGUAAUAAUUAGCCCAUGUGGAUCUCUAUGCCAUGAGUUUGAUAAGUAGCUAUCAAGGAUCACUUAUUAAGCUAAAAAUAUUUGGAGGACAAAAUUGUAAAACUAAAAGGGUGGAGCAAAUAUGGCUAUCUAGGAUUAAAUAGUAAGUCAACUAUAUUUAAAGGAUAAAAUAUUAAAACUUGAAAUGUGAUAUUAAAAAUAUCUCAACUAUUAUGUUAUUAAACCAUAUGUUGUAAUAGUUUAUUUUUUAAGCUUCAAAAUGUUCAGGAUUUUAGAUUGAAACAUUUUCAUUUGAAAUUAUUUGGUGCAGUCACAAGUUAAGAAAGAAAAAGUUGUCCCAUUGGUCAUUUCACAAAAAUGAAAGCCCUGUAUAACAUGGGCUUGAAUGGAAGCCCAAUUGUUUGUGUUUGAUUAAUUGAUUUCAAGCUUUAUCGAACCUUUGUACCUGGAUACUUUACUGCGGCCUCUAAGCGCUAUAAAUUUUUUUGGGGAUAAACGGCGCUUCAAUGAGGUCAUCUCCGAUGCUUAACACCAUUUUGGUGUAAUACCAACAUUAAAAAUAUACAUUUUUCACACUAAAUUACUAUUUCAUCUCCAACCCAUUUACACCAAAAAAAAUAUUUUUCUUUUUAUUCUUUUAAUUCUCAAGAAUUAAUUCAAUUAACACAAUAAAUACUACUAUUAACAUAGAUAAUUAAGUAAUAAGUAAUUUUAUCGAUUAACAAAAAAAUAUAGAAAAUUAUUAAAUUUGCAUUUAAUUAACUAAAUUAGUACAUUAUGAAAAUUAAACAUUACAUUAAUAUAGAAAAAUACAAUAACAAUAAUAAUAAUUUUAUAUCUAAUAUUUUGAUGAUAUUGGAGGAUCUAAUAAUGAUCUUCCAGAUUAUUAAAUAAUUGUUCUAAUUUAUACUAGUAGUAGUAGCUUUUUUAAUUUGUGUUAAUUUAAUUUUGUAAUAUGUAAUAUAGUAAUUAAUGUUACUAGCAUUUUAUUAUUAUUAUUAAUUUUUGUGUUGAAUAUUUUUUAUUUAAAAUAUUAGUAUAAUAUUCAAAAAUUAAAAAAUGAAAUAAAAAUAAUAACAAAAAUAAUAAUAAUAAUAACUUAAAAUAUUAUAUAAAAUAGGACAUAUAUGUAAAUAAGAAAAAGUAAUAAAGAUAUUUAAGAGCUUUUUUUCCUAGCACCAAAUGAAUAGUGUUACACCAUAUUUGGUGCAAUACUAUUCACAACACCAUUUUGUUGUUGGUUUUGGUGUUACAUUGGAGAAGCAUUUUACACCAAAAAUAGUGUAAAAGGUGGUUUGGUGUUAGUUUUGGUGUCACAUUGGAGAUGGCCUGGAAAAGCACUUGAAAACUUUGGAUUUUUGGUUCGUCCAGUUACGGUGUUAUGCUAACGGGGUUAAAGGUUCCGAUCCAAUGAGUUAGGAUCCGAAGGUUACUGAAGUUUACUAUCAAGAGUUUCAAAACAGUGAAAAAGAUGAUAUAGUUGAUGACAAAAACCUGAGUUAUCCAUAGCGACAAGUAACAUACUGUUUAUUACAGAGAAACAAACGACAACAUGAUACUAGUAGUAGUUAUUCUUUUCAUCCGAUAUAUUACAUGGUAAUAUCACUACUCGUUCCACUAGUUUCAUGUACACUGUCGACCAGCAACAUGAUAAUUUCGUGCCAGUUCAUUUUGGUUUGUUGGAAAAAGCAGUGUAUUUCUUAGAACUUGAAAAUAAUAAAAAUAUUUUAAAAUAUAAAUUGCAUAUUUGUUUAUUACCAUUCUUUGGUCUAUUUCUUCUGUAGACUUUUCAGAAUCUGUAGGACGUUAGUUUAUAACUUUGGGAUUUUGUAGCCCUAAUUUUUUUUUUUGGCAUUUUAUUUUGCUGCUUUAUCUAUGUGCAUGUUAACUAAAUUAAGCUAAUCUAGAAUUAAUAGAGAGGGAUAUUUAUCUAUUUUGUUUAACCUUUACCACUCUAGGCAUUGUACUACAUGUGAGCUUGUGAUGCUUGCAUUUUAUUGAUGUUGAUGAUUCGUUGAAUGUUUUAUUUUUUGAUUUUUUAAGUUUUCCAGAGUCAUGUUUGUGUCUACGAAGAAAUUGUAAAGGCUGUGCACGAAGCACUUGUCAUUCUUUAGACUUUAUUGAUUAUAUUUUUGUCAGAUUUGCGUGUAUAUUCACAUAUGUUUUAUUUUUUCAUUUUGUAGGACAUUUUUACAUGCCAUAUUAUCACGACUCUUCUGUGUCUGAAUAAGAAGAAAGCAUAAUGCGACCCUCCAACAGCUUAAUCUAUGGAAUUAUCGUGUUUUGUAAGUUCUGGUCCAAUGGCGUUUUGGCACAUCAUAUGAUAGACCACUAUAUUGCGUUGCUUUACAAAAGAUUAAUAUUUUUAAAAUUAUUAACUCAUGAUAUGAUAGUCCAGGUUUUCGAGGACCACUAUAUUGUAUGGAUUUAAAAAAAAUUAAUAUUUUUUAAUAUUAAUAUUCUAAAUUAUAUUCAGUUAAAAUAUUAAAUAUUAAAUACAUUCUUAACAUUAAUAUUCUUAGAUGAAAUUCUUUUGCUGACUUAAGAAUAAAGUAUUAAAUAAUUUUAUUUUUCUUUUAUUUUGUAACGUGGACCCAAAAAAAAAAGGAAAUGAAUUUAAUAAAACCUUCAUUCCGCCAACAUGCAUGUUAAUUGUUUCCAAAUUCCAACCUCCGUACUCUCUUGAGGAGUUUCCCAUUCAUCAAUUAUUAUUUUUUAUAAUCCAUACCAUCCUGAUAUAAUUAAACACCAUUAAUAAUGUACCAGCCUUUAAAUAGUAAUUAAUUUAUUUAUCUAAUUCACCAAAUGUUUUUUUCCGGUACAUAUCUCCAUUGGUAUCAAGAAGAAGCAGAACCCAAAGAAAUGUUUCUUGCAUCUUCAUAUUUGUGCGAAUUCAUCCUUUCAUUGAGAAUAACCAUUUCCAGGCAGCAGUUGGCAAUCAAUUCAUGCGCAUGUCGAUGCUACUCAUAGAUAUUAAAGACAAUGAUGAACCAAAGGUAAUAAAUCAUAAAUGCAUAAUUACCAAACCUCCAUCCUUCUCUCAUUAUGACUUGAUUUUAAAUGAAUUAUUGCUUGGUAACAUUAUUUCCAACCAUUGCAAGAUUUUUUUUUGGAGAAAUUUCAAUUGAAAGUAAAACCUUUAGACAUUUACCUAAUGAAGUUAGUUAAUCGGGAGGGUGGAAAAAAAAAAGUUGACGCAAGUCAAUACACAAUAAUUAAUUAAAUCCGGAGUCACUAAAACAGAGCCACGACUUUUUCAAAAAUAUCUGCAUUCAUCACUUUCUCCAGCAACUAGUCAGCUACACACGAAUCAAUUUCUCUCCUCGUUUGUCAUCCAAAAUUAUUCACCAAUACCAUGGCUGAUGCAAUCGUUUCCCCGCUCUUGGAGCAGCUGAUUUCCUUCGCUGCUGAAGAGAUAAAACAACAGGUGAUCGAAGUUACACCCCUCAUAUUACAAAUACUUCCAAUGAUUUUAAUUGGUUUUGUUUUUAUCAAAAACAUUAUAUAUUUUUGCUUUUUUUUAUUUAUCUGAUAAUUUUAUAUUUUGAAAUUUGAAUUGAAUUUAAUUAAAAGGUGAUGUAGUAACCACUUAUUUUUAUUUUAUUUCAUUUAUAUUCUCAAUAACUACUCAUAUUUUGGUAACUUACUAUAACUUCCAUAUCUAAGAAAUGAUCCAAACCCACAAUUUUAACUAUGUAUAAAUAUUCAACGUUGAGCUAAGGUUUUGCAGAACAUUCAAGUUUAUCAAAUAGUCAUUAAUUUAAUGUUUUAGUAAAACCUCAACUCAUCACUGAAUCCCAUAGCUAUUACUUAGACACUAUGAAAAAUUUCAUAGUUUUCUUACAUUCUUUCAGUUUGGUAAGUGAUUUCAUAUAAUUUCUUUUCAAGUUAAAUUUUAAUUUGGUUUCUGAUAUAGUCUCUUUGCCGAAUUGUAUCUUUUAUGAUUCUUGGAUUUUGGGCUCCAACUUUUUAGGAUUUGAUAGUCACAUUUUAUGCCAUGCUCAGAUUGAUUUUCAUGAUUUUUAGUACCCGUUAAGUGACGUACAAUUUGACAAAAGUUUGAAAGGAAAUAUGUUUCAGAAUUCUGUUUUAAUUGACCUUUUAGUGGAAUUAGGAUGCUUAUAACUUAAUGUGGAUGGUUCGUAAAAUCAUGAAAUUUGGAUAGGAUUCACUAGCAAUAUGUACAAGACUCCCCAUAAAGUUUCAUAAUUUUUCAUUCGGUCUGGGGUGGUACAGGUGAAACUUGUGGUUGGUGUUGAAAAAGAAGUGAAAAGCCUUACCAGCCAUCUUCAAGCCAUUCAAGUUGUGCUCGAUGAUGCAGAGGAAAAGCAAGUGAAGGAAAAAGCUGUUAGUCUUUGGCUGGGUAGGCUCAAGUAUGCAUCCUACGACAUUGAAGAUGUGUUGGAUGAGUGGAUAACAACAAGACGCAAAUUGCAAAUUGAGGGUGGCGUUGAUGAAAAUGCUCUUGUUGUUCCUCAUAAGAAAAAGAAGGUAUGUCUCUGCUUUCCCGGCUCUUGUUUUGGAUUCAAACAAGAAGAAUUUGGUUUCAAACAGGUCUUUCUCCGUCAUGACAUUGCCGACAAGAUCAAAGAAAUCAAUGAAGAGCUACAUGAUAUUGCCGCUCAAAAAGACAUGUUUGAUCUUGUUAAGAGUGGCAAUAAAAGUAGUGAAAGACCAAGGCGUGUACAGAGUACCUCCUUGAUUGAUGAGGAAGAGAUUUGUGGCAGAGUUGGUGAGAGGAAUGAACUCUUAAGCAAGCUGUUGUGUGAGAGUAGCGAGCAACAAAAAGGCCUUCAUAUCAUCUCAAUCGUUGGUAUGGGAGGCAUAGGGAAAACAACUCUUGCACAACUAGCUUGUAAUCAUGACGAGGUGAAGAGAAAGUUCGACAAAAUUCUGUGGGUGUGUGUAUCAGAAACUUUUGAGGAGUUUAGGGUUGCCAAAGCGAUCGUUGAAGUUUUGGAUGGUCGUGAAUCUCAUUUAGCUGAAUUCCAUUCUCUUCUUCAACAUAUUUAUGAAUCCAUUGCAGGGAAGAGCUUUCUUCUUGUCUUAGAUGACGUGUGGGAUGGAAAUUACUUGAAAUGGGAACCAUUCUACCAUUGUCUAAAGAAUGGUCUCCAUGGAAGUAAAAUUUUAGUUACCACACGUAAAGGGUCAGUCGCAUCCAUGAUGGGAUCCAUAGAUAUUAUCUCCGUUAAGGAGUUAGCUGAAGAGGAAUGUUGGUUGUUGUUUAACAAGAUAGCAUUUUUUGAUCGGUCCAUCGAGGAACGUGAAAAAUUAGAACAAAUUGGGCAAAGAAUUGCAGGCAAGUGCAAAGGUUUACCUCUUGCAGCAAAGACAAUAGGGAGUCUCAUGCGUUCUAAACAAACUGAAGAAGAGUGGAAAAGAAUUUUAAAUAGUGAUUUAUGGAAAGUAGAAGAGAUUGAGAAAGAUGUUUUGUCCUCUUUAUUGUUGAGUUAUAAUGAUUUGCCAUCUAGAGUAAAAAGAUGUUUUUCAUAUUGUGCUGUCUUUCCAAAAGACUACAAUAUAGAAAAAGACAAACUAAUCACGUUAUGGAUGGCUCAAGGUUAUCUUAGUGCAGAAGAAGAUGAAGAGAUGGAGACAGUAGGUGAAGAGUAUUUUGGCAUCUUAGCUUCUCGCUCAUUUUUUCAAGAGUUUAAGAAAAGUUAUGAUAAUCGGAUUAUAGAGUGUAAGAUGCAUGAUAUGGUACAUGAUUUUGCCCGAUUUGUAAGUCAAAAUGAAUGUUUUUCGAUGGCAAUUAAUGGUAGUGAAGAACCAAACGCCACAAACUCUCUUGAUGAGAAGGUCCGUCAUUUAAUGUUAAUCUUUAGUAUAGAGGCUUCAUUACCUGUUUCCACUUGUAGAGUUAAAAGAAUUCGUAGCCUCUUAAUUAACGAUAGUAGAUCUGAUCAUUCAUUAUUAAAUGGUGAGAUCCUAGAAGAAUUAUUUAGGGAAUUGACAAGUUUAAGGGCAUUAGAUUUUUGCAAAUCGUAUAACGCAAGCUGGUCUUCGACUCUGGAGAUUCCGAGAAACAUAGAAAAGCUGGUACAUUUAAGAUACCUUAAUUUGUCUUAUCAGGGAAUAAAGAAACUACCGGAGACAUUAUGCGAGUUGUAUAAUCUAGAAAAGUUAGAUAUUAGUUAUUGUUAUAAGCUAGAAGAAGUACCUGAAGGGAUUGGGAAGUUAAUAAACAUGAAGCAUUUACGAAAUAGAGGUACUAGUUCUUUAAGGUACAUGCCGGUAGGGAUUGGGAGAUUAACGGGUCUUAGGACCUUGGGUGAGUUCCACGUGAGUGCAGGAGGAGGUGUUGAUGGUAGGAAAGCAUGUAGGCUUGAAUCUCUUUAAAACUUGGAACACCUUCAAGUAUGUGGUAUAUGUAGACUGGGUGAUGUAUCAGAUGUGGGCGAGGCUAAGCGAUUAGAACUUGACAAAAAGAAAUACCUCUUCAGUUUGACCCUUGAGUUUGAUAAGACGGAAAGAGGAGGAGAAAGGAGGAAGAACGAGGACGAUCAACUUCUUCUUGAAGCCUUGCGACCACCCCUGGAUUUAAAGGAAUUAGAGAUACGGUACUACCGAGGCAACACUGUUUUCCCCAGCUGGAUGGCGUCAUUAACCAACUUAAAGAGUUUACAUCUCCAUAGGUGCGAAAAUUGCGAGCAGCUGCCUCCUUUGGGAAAAUUGCCGUCCC
rnacentral:lncRNA from 1 species